rnacentral:lncRNA from 1 species
UGAGCUCCCCGUCAGUGUGAGCUUCAAGCAAUAAGAAGUGAUAGAUUGGGGUUCGAAGACUAUUGCGCAUCACAUCGUACAUUGUCAUCCGAGCAUUGUUAGCGUCUCCCGAUUCGGUGUUCUUUGCAGUGUUUUGUUACGAACUGCAAUCAGGUCGAGCUAGAUUGCUAGUCAUGGCCUCCACCCGCAGCCUCUUCCUGGUGAUGGUGUGCCUCAUUGCCGUGUGCACAAUGGCCGCAGCCGUGCAGGCGGAGCCGAACCAGUACGCGGAGUGCGGGGAGCAAGCCUACGGUGCGCUGUGUCUGUUCGGAGCUUGCUGCAGCAAGGACGGCAUGUGCGGCUUCGAACCAUCUUUCUGCGGCAACGGCUGCCAGAGUGGUCCUUGCGAGAGGAAGGGAGCUAAUUGAAGCAUCAGCAGCACCAGAGUGGGGGAAUAACUCGCUGCAGCACGGUCCGGAGAGUGAUGCUGUGAGGGUUCAUAGUGCGCUUCCAGUGACGCAUGGCGACUGAUGUAGGCUUUUCGUCAGUCGCUGAAGAGUAAUUAGGCUCGAAGACAUGUCUCGAGCUGCUCAUCGUCGCACUUGUGGGAAAGUGCUGCAGAUAGCGCCGUUAGAUAGGUAGUGGCUGUGAGAAAGCCGCUCACUACCUCAUUGUGGAUAGAUCACGAAGUGGUCAUCCUCAAGGUGGUGAUGCAGGUGUAUUGUACCUGACCUUCGAAUUGGCGGAGUGGGUUCUCUCACUUGUGCUCUUUGGACUUCGGAACUUGCUGGUCUCUAUCCUAUGCACUGUCUUCAACUAGUCUAGUAUCUUGUCAUGUGUUGUAGCUGAUUGUCCCCUUCGAUUCCAGCAUUGCAUCUGAAGAUACAAUUCAUUCACCGGACUUCUAUGGGCUCCUCUGGUUUCGUUGCUUUCAUUUGGAGUCUAGACUUAUUAGUGGUUCUUCGCAACGCGAAGGUUUAGGUCAUGGCCGUGGGUCCUAGUCAGUGUCGGUACACUAGAUAGCGAAAUCCAGCAUAGCGUAUUGGCCACCUCAAGCUUCACUUUUCGCAAAUUCGGACAGAAUAACGAAUCACAUUUUUGUAUCAUGUAACGCUCAAGCCCACAUGCACGAACCAGCUGAUAUUGAAGUAUAAAGGUUAAUUCUAUGGGUCAGUUUGAAAGAUUUUUUAAUUUCGUACAUUCAUGAAAAUAUCUCAUUGCAUCCUUGACAAACUCCUUUACAUCAAUCUCUCACUCUUUGUGUUUCACCAGAUUAUGGAAUGUUGACACCAGAAAUACCAUGGCCCACUUGCAACCUACCUUAUUAAUGACGCCUUAUCAAAGAAAGAAAAAGUAAACAAAUCUUUGUCGAACAUGAGAAUUGAUAAGAUAGUAGGUGAACUCGAAAACAUCAUGUGAUAAACAUAUCCCUGUUUUUCUACAUUCCGUUUAGCUUUUACCCAAAGCAAAUACUCAUGAAGAAGCCACAAUAUAUCUCGUAUUAAAUAGCUCAGGGAGAGGGACAAAUACAUGUAACAAGCAAGAAGAAAUAAAUUAUUUGAAUUUAGCAUUACAAAUCAAAUGAGACAUAUGUAAUCACACUAAUAAAUGAUGAAAAAAAUAGAAAAAUCAUAUUUAACUUGAAUUUAAAAACGGAGAUGAUUUGCUAACUUUUUUACUGCUGAAGGAAAAUGGAAAAGAAAUUAAUCAUAUUGAAGAGGAAGGGAAGGAGUAUAAUAUGUAAAAUGUGUUGAGCUUUAUUUACGAGUGAACAAAAUGUUUAGAGGCGACUUCCACUGUUCCAAGGAUGAAUUGGCAUUUGGAACUAAAAUUUUACUCUUUGAAUCUUCUGUGUGCUUACAUGUUAACACAACUAUCUGCAUUCUUAUUACAUCAACUCAAUAUGCCACUUUAUUUUUGUCAAAAAUAUUCUUCAUGAUUUUUUUUUCUAUUCAUCUAAUGAAAUGCUUUUAUGGUGUGCGUAAACAUCAAAAUCUUAUUGCAUACAAAUUGCCAAAAAAUUAAAUUACAUAAAAUAAAUGUGAUGUUUUUGGUAAUCUAUCAAAAUGUAUAAAUAUAUAAAUUUAUAUAAUUAUCAUAUAAUUUUCAGUGUGAUAAAAUAAAUAAAUAUAUGUAUAGAAUGCAUAUAUAUAUUUGUAUGUGUAUAGGAAGUGUUGUAGGACUAUGCCUUAGACGGGAACUAAUCUUGCCUGAGUGCGGCAGAAAUACUUGACAUGUUUCGUGCAUCAUCAUGCUCAGUAUCCAAGAACCUGCUUGAAGCGGACAUGAGAUCUAGUCCAAACCCGUUUGAACAGAUCACGGCGGACACUCAUGAGACGCAACGAGAAACUCAUGCGGCAAACCCUAGCCGCCCAAGAGAUGCGAGUUGACCUCCCAAAGACCUAUCUUUUGAGUUUCCGUUCAUUGAUUUAUAUUGGCGGAAUACAGUUGGUUUGGAUGCCUCAUUCGCCUAAGUAUGGGCGUAACAAGAGCUUAUUGGCGUAGGCAGGAUUAGGGCCAAGCCAGAUCUUAUCCUUGCAUGAGUAGGGCUACUCUCCGUACAAGAUCAAACUGCUAUUCAGUUACUAUUUGAGUCGUGGUUGACGCAUUGCGGGCAGCGAUACAUAGUACUGUUUGAUUGCGUGAUUGUGUCGCGGCUGUGGAUCUCCACGAUACUUCAUGUAUGAAUCGGCGUAACAGGCCUUGAAUUUGCCUUUGCGUUUGCAAUGUUUCUCCACUUGCAAAGCUACUUGAUCACCAAUAUAAAAAGAUAUGGUGUAAUACAUUUUCUUGUCAUAACCUCCUUUUUGCCACAGCUGUACUUUAGCUCGAGUGUUUUCUUUUUUUUGAUAUAAGAGGGUAUCAUCCCAAGCAAGGUAUUGGGGAAGGUGAGACCUAAUUUGCUUCUUCAUUGGAAUGCUCACGUUGGCUGGUAUUGAGCCAGUCAAGCAACUUGCUAGUGGAGCCUCAUACAUCUCGUUCUCCAUGAUGUACUGCGAGUUGUGGAUAAAGCAGCUGACUGUGUGAAGGUAUGGUGAGAAGUGGCUGCCUCAAGGAAUCUCUUCCCUAAAUGCGUUGCUCAGCUGUCCCAACAGGGAGCUUACAAGGUUUCAGUCGCUAAGUAUAGUAGGUGGUCGUGUUACUUGGGAUUACUGUACAUCACCUCGUCAGCUCAUGUGCUGUUUGCUUUGCUGAUCAUGCUCUGUUCUUGUAUUGUGUAGUAUCUCCUGAAGAGAAAACCGAGCAUAAUGUGAUUGAGAGAGUAACGAUUGAGAUACGGGUUGAUUGUGCUAGUUCUUAUAAAAAUAAGAGAGUAAAUUUUGAUUUGAGUGGACAAGAAGUCCAUUGCAAUGUGCUGCUGAGGUACUACGGUGAUGCGUGAGUUACAAAGAGGAGAUUGAUUUAGAUCUGAAUAUCUAGCUAAUGUGAUGUGCGAGUGAUGGGAAUAUAAAUGAUUGACGUAAUCAAAGUGAGCAACCUAGACCUAGUAGAGUGGUUUCAAUGCAGCGGUUGUGGGCGUCGAUGCCUCCUUGGUGGAACACAGGUGGAUGACGUCUUAGAUAUGUUGGUUGUGUGCAUGCUGAGAGGUAGGUUUGCAAACGUUGAAUAUGGCUUGGGGGUUGCAUAGGUGGUCAUGGUCAACACAUCCUCAUCCUUGUGUAUUCUACCCGAUUUGUAAACAAUCUAGUAUUUGUAUGAUUGUAACAGAAGUGCCUAGCAUGCAAGGUGGCCCAUAAGAUCAUGGGAGGUCAUGAGUGCAUGGAAAGGUGCAUGAUCUGUCUCGAAUGUGAAUCGGGAGCUGUGAAAGUAAAGUUAGUAUUUUACGCCGAAUAGUAUUGCUAGCCCUUUUUGAUCAAAAAUAUUGUAAUUUUGCUUGACUUUGGAGAAUCCACUCAAUACGUAGGCCAGGAUGUGUUCAUGAUCAUCAUUGACUUGGCUCAAUAUGGCACCAAUGGAGACUCAAGAAGCAUCUGUUUGGAGUUGAAAGGGUUAGUUGAAGUGAGAGUAGAUAAGUAGGGGCACUGUGAGUUAAAAUAAACCUUCACUAGUUGACUCAAGAAGUUUAUUAAAGUUCACAAAAAGUAAAUUAAUUAUAGAAAUCUUAGAAAUUUUAGUUCUUAUUUAAAUCUUCAUUAAUUUAUACAAAAAACUCUUUAAAUCAUCCAAGUAGUUGAGCAAAAUCUUUAUUACCAACUCAUACUUAUAAUAAUGUCUCUCAACAAAUUCCAAGCAAUCAAAAAAUUGAAUGAUAUGAUUUUAAUUUCAAUUGAAUGUCUAUCUUAAUUUAGUUUCUAUUUAAUUAAAAUUCAUCCAUUGACAAAAUUUCAUCCUUGAAUUAAAUUUCAUCCAAUUUCAAUUGUUCAUCCAAUUUAACCUAAAUAUAACCCUAAUCCUACUUCAUUCAAAGCUAACCUAUGAUUGUCUAACCUUAGCCUCAUCUACUAUAACUUAUCCUAUCCUAGAUUUUAGUCUGUACCUAAUUUCUCACCACGCAAGGGGUAUUCAGUGAAGGGUGGGUGCCGAAUCCUAGUUCACCGCACAGAAGUGGCACUGGAAUAAAAAUAAAAUAAAAAAAACUGCUGCAACUCGUUCGAACAGACCGCAACCACAAUCAAGGGAACCAAAGAAGGCCUGGAGCAAACUCAAAGCAACCGCCGCCUACCACCUUUGACCAACAAUCCAGAACACCCACUAGGGCCGAAGGAAUGGAAGAAUGGUGAUAAGUGCAGGACCAGUGAGAGGGAAGCAAUCCCGAGCCGAUGAAGAUCAGCUGUUGUGUGUCUAUCUCAGUUGUUGUUCCAGAAUUAUAACUUAAAAAUUACACACUUGUCAUGCGCAACAUGGGUCUGUGCUAAGGAACUUCCAAACAAAAAUGACAGAGCAACAAGUGCUACAUGCAGUGCCAAUCAUUCUAUUGUGGUGGACACCAUUUUGGACUGCUUGGGUCCUGGAACGUCGAACCUCGUGAUCAACAGAUCGACCCUGACAAUACCAACUAUCUCCACCUACACUACUUGAACCUGUUCUGAAAAAACUAGAGUUGAUACAAACUCCUCGUGGGAAUGGCUGCACUCACUUACUGUAUCUCCAAUAAGCUCACUUUGCGACACUUCAAGCUGCAUCCGACCUUCCCGAAAUGUACUCGAGGAUACAACAAAAAAAGAACACUUGCUCCUGGACCGCGAGAAGACGAGACUAGCCAGGUUCACGGCACUGCAGUCUCUUCGCUUCUUCGCAAUUCAACGAGGUCAACGAGGAAGGGACCUGAACACGUGCGCGGCCAGCGCAAUUUGACCGCCGCACGUGUCAGAAUAGAGUGGAACCAACAAACAACCAAAACCCUGGGCAGCAGUGCCUUGUCGACAGCCUACGCUCCAUGUCGCCGCAUUGCACUUCUCCGAGCUUCGAACUAUAAGAGAAAACAAGAAGAAAAAUGAAGGACUGCAACCGAAGCUCCACCACCGCUCCAACUGCAAUUUCUCAAACUCCAAUACCGCCGUACUCAACCGCCAGCAUACAACCAAGGCACGCAACCAGGGAGGAAUUCGAUGUCGAAGGAGAAUCCACACAAACCAAGGCACGCAACCAGACUCGAUGCGAUUCUAGUCGCAGUCAACGUCAAUCGCAGCACACAGCCGCCACAGCAAACAUACGAAGGGCUAGCUUCUGCGCACCCCAAAAGAGAAGAAAAAACCAAAAACAAAAUGCAAACCUAAUUGUAACACAAAAAACGAAGAUAAAGACGUAGCAGAACGUUGAAGCAAAAGCCACCUCAAUGCCACCACUCUAGAAAUUCACGAGGCCCUCAUGGCCAAUCUAAACAGCCGCAACCAAUCUUUGAUGCAACUCAACAUAGUUGCAAGGAAUUCUUAAGCAAAAACACUGGUGUAAAAUUGAGCGGAAAACAACCCAAGUGCAUUGCUCCAUAAUCCUUGGUGGAAAAUUGAGUGGAAAACAAUCCAAGUGUAUUGUUCCAUAAUUCUUGGUGGAAAAUUGAGCAGAAAAUAAUCCAAGUGCAUUGCUCCAUAAUCCUUGGUGGAAAAUCAAGCAGAAAAUAAUCCAAGUGUAUUGCUCCAUAAUCCUUAGUGGAAAAUUGAGCAGAAAAUAAUCCAAGUGCAUUGCUCCAUAAUCCUUGGUGGAAAAUCAAGCAGAAAAUAAUCCAAGUGUAUUGCUCCAUAAUCCUUAGUGGAAAAUUGAGCAGAAAAUAAUCCAAGUGCAUUGCUCCAUAAUCCUUGGUGGAAAAUCAAGCAGAAAAUAAUCCAAGUGUAUUGCUCCAUAAUCCUUAGUGGAAAAUUGAGCAGAAAAUAAUCCAAGUGCAUUGCUCCAUAAUCCUUGGUGGAAAAUCAAGCAGAAAAUAAUCCAAGUGUAUUGCUCCAUAAUCCUUAGUGGAAAAUUGAGCAGAAAAUAAUCCAAGUGCAUUGCUCCAUAAUCCUUGGUGGAAAAUCAAGCAGAAAAUAAUCCAAGUGUAUUGCUCCAUAAUCCUUAGUGGAAAAUUGAGCAGAAAACAACACAAGUGCAUUGCUCCAUAAUCUUUGGUGCAAAACAACCCAAGCAUAUUCCUCCAUAAUCCUUGCAGCUCCACUUUCAGUAUGCAAAAAUAAGAAGAAAAGAAGGGAUUCAGGGCAGCCCGGACCAUUGUUGGCAAAGAGGUUGUAGCAAAAUCAAGGGCAUCCUCUCGCCCUUGUGAUCAUCUUUUCUUUUCCUUCUAUUUUUUUUUUUUUUUUUUUUUUUUUUUCGCUUUAUCUCUUCUUUUUUCUUUUCUUCUUCUCCUUCUUUUUUUAUUUUCUUUUAACUUAUGUUUUUAUAUAUAUAUAUAUAUAUAUAUAUAUAUAUUAAAAUAAUUAUUAAUAAAUUAAUUUUUAUUUUAUAUUAUUUUAUUUUUGAUAGCAAGGACUAUUGCCAUUGGGCCAUCAUUUAAUAUUAGCUAACAAAAAAAAUAUUCAUCAUAGAAAUUUGUCUUAAUAAACUCUACUUUAGGUUGCAUAUCUGCUAUUAGUAGUCUAUUUUCUAUUUUUUGUAAAAAUUCUACUACUAACUCACAAAAUCUAUGAUUUUAAGUACAAUAAUUGUAUUUUUUGUACCAAAUAUGUAUCAAGGACAUGAAUCUUGAAGAAAGAAAAUUGUCAAUACAAUCUUGUAUCACUUAAGAAAAUUAAAAAAUCACUUAAAGUUGAUAUAAUAUUAAAUUAGAAUCACUAUUGCUAAAAAUAAAAAUAAAAAUAGAAAGACUUGAAAUAAGACUAAGGACUAGAAAGGCAUUGAUAAGAGUAAAAAAGGCUUCACUCUUGCCUCCAUAUAUACUCUCUAACUAAGAGCUAUGUGGCAAUAUUCUAUAAGACCUCUAAUAUGUGUUGACUUUGCUAGUCACAUGUCUUAACUUACAAAGCAAGUUAUCUGUGUAUGUACCAUAUAAUUAACUUGUUCUACAAAAUACUACAUGGAGAUAACUUGUUGGCUAAGUUUCUAACCUAUAAACACAUCUAAAGUCAAAACUGCAUCUAUAAAGCUUCUAGGAAGUUUUUCUAAAAGACUUUAUGAAAUUAAUCUAUAUUUACCUACUUCUACAUAAUCAUAUAAGUAACUAUUGGAAUAAUUAUAUAUUAUUGUGACAUUUCCUUCCCUUUUAGGAAUAAGUUCCACAAGGAGUGGUCAUCAUCUUUCAUAGAUCUUACAAUUCUUCAUCUUAGUUUUGUUAGAUGUCGUCAAUAAAAAGUCUCAAUCUUCUUUGUUGCAUUUGCAAGAUUAUUUAUUGGCUCCCAUGUGUAUUCACUAAUAUUGUAUCCGUACCAAUGAACAAAAUAUUCUAAUCUAUUUUGGCGCCUGCUUUGAAUCUAAGAUUUCUUCCACCUCAAAAUCUUGAUCAUUAUUAACUUUUAUGAGAGGAGGUGGCAUUUGUCUUCUUUCCAAAAUAUUCAAUAUCUUAUAUGGCUCAAGAAGAGACACAUGAAAUAUAGGAUGAAUCAUUAUAAACUUUGGUAGAUGUAAUCAAUAAGCAAUAAUAUUGAUUUGUUCACAAAUAGGAAAAGAUUGCAGCUUAUAAUAGUCUAAUUUAUUAUAAAGAUAAGUUGUCUUGAUAUUGCGAUGAAAUAAUCAUACCUUGGCACCUACAUUGAAUUGUGGUUCCUUCUUGUAAUAGGCAUUUGCGUUGAUCUUUUGUCAUUCUUGAGCUUCCUUUAAUUGUGUCUUUAUUCUUGCAUGUAGCUUUGACAAACAAUUUUCUAAAUCUUCUGCCGUAGGAUUAUCAACUUUUGAAAAGCCAAAAGUAUCAAGUCAUAGAUGAUAACUAUAAUUGGUAAAAAAAAGUAUUUAUUGAAAAGAAGAAUGUAUCAUAUUAUUGUAACAAACUCUGCCAAUGGCAAAAGAGUUGUCCAAGUAUGUUAAUGAUAGUUGAUGGUACACUUCAAAUAUUGCUCCAAAACUUGAUUCACCUGUUUUGUUUGCCGACCAGUUUGAGGAUAAAAAGCCAAAGAGACCUUUAUAUCCACCUUUAAAAUUUUGUAUAGGAUUCUUUAAAAUCUUGAGACAAAUUGAGUCCCCGUAUCUAAUAUAAUAUCUUUUGGCAAUCAAUGAUAGUGUCAAGGACAUGAAUCUCAAAGAAAGAAAAUCCUCAAUAUACUCUUGUAUCACUGAAAAGUAGUAAAAAUUCUCUCAAAAGGUGAUGUAAUAUUAAAUUAGAAUGGCUAUUGCCAAAAAAAAAACAACUAGAAAGUCUUGAAAUAAGACUAAAGACUAGAAAAGCAUUAAGAAAAGUGAAAAAGGCUUCAUUCUUGCCUCCAUAUAUACUCUUAACUAGGAUUUAUAUGGCAAUAUCUCAUAAGACCUCCAAAAUGUGUUGACUUUGCCAGACACAUAUCUUAACUUGUAAGGCAAGUUUUCUAUAUGUACGUCAUAUAAUUAGCUUUUUAUACAAGCUACUAACACGUGGUUAAUUUAUUGACCAAGUUUCUAACCUAUCAAUCAACUACAAAUAUAUUUAAAAUCAAGCAACGUCUAUGAAGCUUCUAGGAAGCUAUUCUAAAAGGUCUUAUGAAAUUAAUCUACUUUUAUCUACUUUUAUCUAUUCCUACCUAAUCAUAUAAGUAUUUACUAGAAUAUCUAUAUAUGUCCAUCACAAAUAGCGAUAAAUAUUAUCAAUGAAAUGUUUAGUUAUUUCUUCACUUGAAAUAGACUUUAUAUAUGGUACCAAAUGUGCCAUUUUAGUAUAGAGAUCUAUGAUUACAAAUAUAGAGUCAUAUGAACUUGAACUUGAAAGAUUUGUAAUAAAAUCCAUAGAAAUAAAAGAUGAUUGGUUGUUUGAAUAUACGCAAUAGUUAAAAAAGUUCAAAAGAUUGAUGAGGAGUUCAUCAAUGGACUUUUUAAUCUUCAAAAAAAUAUCGAGGAGUUUUUAAUCUUCAAAAAAUGUCACAUGACUAAACAAAGUCUUUUACUGCUUUCCGCAUUUGCAGCCACUAAAAAUCUUUAGAUAUAAGCUCUAAAGUCUUGUUAUAUCCAAAAUGUCCUACUGCCCAAAAGUCAUGACUUGCUUGAAGAAUCUCUAAACAUGCUUCUUUUUCUAGAACAUAUAAGCAUCCUUCAAAAUAGAGUAGAUUGUCCUUGAACUUAAACUUUGAAACAUCAUGAGAUACAAAAGAAAGAUUCUUGAUAUCAUGAAUAAGAAGAUCAGAGGACAUACUUGAUUGAAUUUGUUUGAAAAAGGUCGAAUCAACAAUCAAUGUUGAUUUUAUUGCUCAAAGAUGAAAAUGCUUUAGCUUCAAGAGGAUUAUUCUUUCUUGAUCAAAAGAUAUAUCUUUUUUUUUGGGUAUAAGAUAAGACUAUUAUCGAGAUAGAAAGAGUUUGCGUUAAAAAAGCAUUGAGCUUUUGAUUGUCACUAAAUGCUCAACCAAGCCUCUAGAUAAAAGAAAUACCAAGUCUAUAUAUAAAAUUAUUCCUAAAGGAGCAAUUACAUCAAUACAUAAGCCAUAAGUACCAAAGAUCAUAAAAAAUGUGAUAAAAAUAUCAUAAAAAACUUGUAUAUCCUUAAUAUAAAUUCUUCUCAAACUUCAACAGCUCAUAUCUCACGAUCAAACUAUGCAAACAAACCUAAACUUUAUAUGAAGUAUUGAUGUAUUUUUAACAACUAUCACAAUAAUUUGAACUAUAAAUUCGUUAAAAAUCUUAAGAUAUUGCCAAAAUUCUAACAAUAGCUUCAAAUCUUUGCUUAUAUACACCCAUGUAUAAAUUUCUUCAUAUUUUAUAGACUAAGUAUUCAAAUACCAUAAAAUUUUGACAUAUAGCUUUUGAAUUCAAUAACAUAGACUUUUAGAAAUUUUAAGCCAAAAAUUCAUCCAAAAAAUCAUGAUAUGGCUCCAAUCAUUACUAUCAACAAAAUGAUUUAUUUAUUGCCUCUAAACUACAUGUAUUCUUUUUAAUACUCUAUAACUUCUUCAUAUAAAUUCUAAAUAUAAAAAUUCCUUCAUAAGAAGAUGUAGAUUUUAAAAUCACUCUUUUAGUCACUUUUGUGGAUCUUCAAAAUCUAUCAUAAAAUUCCUUGUAUCCUCAAAACAGUAAUAAUAUAUCUUAAACAAUAUGUUAACUUCAAACAGCUUUAAUUUCAUUACCCUAAUUCCAAAUACUUUAAAAUUUGUACAUAAAUUGUGGCCCAAAUCCUAAAUUUUAUAAUUUUUGCUUUCGAUUCUCAAAUGUUGCUCCCAAAGUUGCCAAAAUUCUUAUUAUGGACAUAAACAAUGAGCUGAAUGCCUAUUGGGCAUGGCCUACAACCAAUAGGGAUAAAGAUCUUUACCUUUUGACUUCAUUUGACCAUGCCUUGAUUUUAUUCCUCUCGAUAAGCCUCCUGGUAGUUUAGAUUUUCAUCUUUAGGCUUCUACCUUCUCUUAAAGUUUUAUACUAAAUAUCUAAAUUUAAUAUAAUUUUAAUACUAUAAUAAAAAUAGAUGAAAUUUAAAAUAAAGUUUCUUAUAUCUACUUUCUUUAAAUUAAAUUAUAAAAAAUUCUAAUAUACAUUAAGACUUAUAAACAUAAAAUAUAUUUUAAUUAAUUUUUACAUAUUAUAAGUAUUUACAUUACAACAACAUCCAAAAAGAGCAUCUCAUAAACCUUGUUGUUUUUUAGAUUGAUAUGUGAUUUUGAAAUCAAAUCUUAAUAAUAAUAUGCUCAAACGGGCUUGGCAACAAUUUAAAACAUGUGCCAAUAUGAAAUAUUCAAGAUUCUUAUAAUUUGUAUAUAUUAUGACUGGAUUUGAAGCGCCAUCUAGAUAAUAAUACCAUUCUUGAAAUGAAUCUACAAUUACAAACAAUUCUUUGUCAUAGAUCUCAUAGUUUAUCUCGACUACUAAAAAUUUCUUAGAAUAAAAACCUAUAGAUGGAGUUUAUCAUUUGUUCUCAUUUGUGAUAAAAUUAUAUCUAAUGCAAAGUUUGAUGCAUCUAUUUUCAUAAAAAAUAUCUUCAAAAAGUUGAUACCAUACAAAAUUAGUGUAAAAAUAAAUUUUUUAUUUAAAAUAACACAUGAUGCUUCAGCUUCUUUAUUCUACUCAAAUUUGUCUUUACAACUCAAAUGUGUAAGUGGAGCUACACCUUGAGAAAAGUCCUUGAUGAAGAUUUGGUAGUAAUUAGCAAAGUCUAAAAAGUAUUACAUAUUUCAUACUAUUUUUAGAAUCUUCUAAUCUAUGAUAAUUUGAACCUUCUUGGGAUCCAUUAUAAGACUUUUGUUAGAAAUGAUGUAUCCUAAAAAGUCAACUUGAGUAGUAUAGAAUACAUACUUUUCCAACUUGGCAUAUAAUCUUAUAUCUCUAAGUUUUUGUAACACAUGACAAAUAUGAAGUUCAUGCUUUUUUGUAUUCUUAGAAUAGAUUAGUAUGUCGUCUAAAUAACAAAUAACAAAAUCAUCUAGAAACUCACAAAAAAUAUUAUUCAAAAGAUAUUCAAAAGCCGUUGGUGCAUUCGUGAGUUUAAAAGGCAUGACAUUAUAUUCAAAAUAUCCAUACCUAGUUCAAAAAGUAGUCUUCUAUUCAUCCCCUUAAUUGAUAGGAAUUAAGUUAUAUACUCCUCAUAAAUCUAUUUUGGUAUAGAUAUUUGCUUGAUUGAGUUGGUCAAGAAGUCCUAAAAUCAUAGGCAAAGGAUAUCUAUUCUUGAUGGUGAUCUUAUUGAGUUGUUGAUAAUCCUUAUACAUCCGUAGAGAUCUAUCUUUUUUCUUUACAAAUAAGAUAGGAGUUGUAGCUAGAAAUUUAGAAUGGUAUAUAAAGUUCUUUGGAAAGUUUUCAUUAAUGUACUCCUUUAAUGCAACCAACUCAUUUUGCAAUAAGCUAUAGAUUGGUCCAAAUGGUGGUUGAGCUCUUUCUUGUAAAUAAAUUGAACAAUCAUAAGAUCAAUGCUUUAGAAGAAUAUCUGCAUUUUUUUUUUUCAAAAAUGUCUUGGAAUUCUUCAUACUGGCUAGGAAUAUAACUUCACAUUUUUUCACCAUUAGAAAUGGGCAUAGCAUAAAUAGCAAAAUAUGAUUCUUCUUUUGUAGCAUACAUGAAAGUUCUCCCACCUAUCGAUAAAGGUUUGGAAGUACUAGGUUUUUAUACUUCUACUUCAUUAAUUUGAUCUUAGAUUAUAUUAUUAGAAAAGUUAAGGUUAUGAGAGAUCUAAUCUAUUUGAGGGUUAUAUUUUUUUAGCCAUAAUAAUCUUAAAAUAACUAGAUUGGAACGAGAUCUUAUUACAUUAAAUACAACUAUAUUGUUAUGAUCUUUAAUUGUUACAUCUAAAGGAAUAGUCUCAUGGGUAAUAUUUUCAAAAAAUAAUAAAUGAUCAUCUAUGACUUCUAUACAUAUGGAUUUAGUUUUCUUGAUUAAAACUAUUUUUUGAUUUUUGAUACAAUCUUCAUCUAUAAAAUACGCUGAGGCUUCUGAAUGAAUAAGGCAAGGACUUUGUAAUUUUUAGGUCCUAAACACACAUCUAUUAUAAAAUAAGGUGAGGGUUGUGAAGAGAAAAUAGGACCUUUAUUAGGUGUUAUAAAUGAUUUCAGCUGCACGAUCCUUAUUGUAGUUGGAGAAACUUCUUUUUUGACACAUUAUUGUCUUUGGCAAUUGUGCUCCUCAUUCUGUAAUUGCAUUGCUUCUUUGGACAAUAUUAAGCAGUGUGCUUAGCUUCUCCAUAGUGUAAACACAAACCCUCUUUGCAACAUUGAGUCUUUUUUUACUCCAUGAGAGUUUUAAAACAUAUCGUAUCAAUUUGCAUCGGUUUUGAUAUUGUAUUAUGUGCUAUCUUGCUUGAGAACGCACCGAGUAUUUGCCUGUGGAAGAUAAAAUAAUAUUUUACAAGUAUCCAGAUAGGUUAGUGGGUUUCAACCAUAUAAAUACAAACUAUUUCAGAUUUCAAUGUAAAAGCUUAAUCCCAAUAUAAAGUGCUUAGAAACACUAUUUUUAAUAACUUCAAGAUAUUAUAAGCACAAAAUCUUUUGUUAUUUGUUAGUUUUAUUUAUUUUAUUUUUAUUUUAUUUUUUUCUAAUCUUAAUCCUAGACAGCAAACUUCGACAAGCUGUAAUUCUCAAUUUGACCAUCCGAUUGUUGUAAACUUCUACUACUAGUGUCUUUGCAAGCCUUCUAAAUGCUCAAGAAGUUUCAAUCUAAUAUAACUUACAGAUUGCAAGAAAACACCAUAAAUCCACACUGAUGUAUCUUGACUGCCACCUAGAGGUCCUCGACUUAUCAUGCCAAAAGUCACCUAUUCCUGUUGGUAGAUCUUCAGAUAUUACAAAAACCUUAAACAACCCCAAUCUGCUAACUUUUGAUACCUCUUCACACUAAUGGUCAAAUAUCCUCUAUCUGUUCCUUCAGAUUAAUACAAACUUUUGCAUGCACUCAGCAUAUUCUACCUUCUAGACACCUCUAAAUUUCAAUCCCAGAAGUUUCUCCAACUUCACUAAACAGUUAAGAGUACUAGCCUUUACUUUAUUACAAAAAAAACCCAAUUCACCAAUACAAACACUGAUUUUGAGCAACAAUUGCAAAGUCCUCCCAAAUCCUAUGAGACCCUAUUCUACACCUUUUGAAGGAGUUUGAAGCUAGCUCUCCGAUCUCAAAUGUCGAUCUCCAAAUGCCCUCUUCUUUUUCCUCUCCUUUCCUUUAACUCUAUAAGGUCCCCUAUUUUUCCGCCCUGGAUUCCGAAUUGGAAUAACCGACGGUGCUUCUCGGAAAUUCCUAUCCCUAAAAGGAUCUUAUCUUGGAAAAGACUUUUCCCCCGGAACGGCAUAGAGAACAGAACAACUUGAGUUGGAACCAAAACCUCUGUAAUCGAGAUUUCAUUGGGUUGCCUAAUUGAGUCAGGUCUCAUACUGGAUAAGAAGUCCAUACCAAGAUCUAGAUUGGAUGCCCCGUAAUUGGGUCAAAUUUACCCUUCACAUCAGACUCACCCGAAUAUUGAAUUGGUCCUUUUUCCUUUUGCUGAUUCUUGGUAAGAACGACUCACACUUAUUCCACUCGAUUUAUUGGAGAAUCUUGAGGACCUCGCUUUAUCCCUUCAAUUUUUCCUUGGCUUUAGAUCUGCUGAUCCUAAUUAUUGAAAUUAAACAGAGUAUUAAAUUACUGAUAAGUAUGCCCCGACUGCUUGCUAUUCCCACACACUAGCGCGUAAUUGUCACUGGCUUUGGGAUUGGAACAUUCAGUGGCAUAAUGACCAACUUGUCUGCAAUGGAAAUAAAAAAGUGAUCUUCCUAUUCCGCCAUUAUGCAUAUUGGGUGUCUCCAUCGGUAUAUACCUACUAGGCUUGUUCCAUGUAGGGUUGGAAAAUGAUCCUGGUUGUCCCGUUGGUACAGAGGGUACUUGAUUCGAUGAUGCCAAUGGGGUGACAUUAACUGACCCCAAAUAUUGGCACUGGAAUUGGCCACUAUUUCUAACAUCCAAGAUGACUAAAUAUUAAUAAUAUCUUUUUUAUUUAUAUUUUCACCAUAUAGUCGUAUUACAAUACGACAUCACUCCCUGUGAACCUGUGCAUCCUCUGGUAUGUACCAAAUAACCUAGUUAUUGUUUGAUUCAUAAUACGUUCUCCAAGUCUUCAUCCAAAUCUUAUUCAUUGUUUUUGCUAUCCAUGUCAAAUUCAUCUUCCUGUUGAGGAAUAUCUAUAUCUUCACCAAGAUCUUCUAUAUUUAUUUUUAUGUAUCUUUGUUUAAAUAUUUUUACUUGCUUCCCUGCAAUUGGUAUUUUUAACCUUGUUCCAUCUAACUCCCGCAAUGAGUAAGUAACUUUCUAAUGCUAUUUGUACAUCUUCUGAUCUUUGCUCUAAGUAUUGAAUUCUAAUAGCUAGAAGUUCUUCUCUUGUCAAUUCAUCUUCCUAUAGUAGCACACUCCAAGUAGGUACUUUUUUUUCAAUUGGCAUAAUUGAUUUUUGACUUGUUAUAAGCUCAAUAGGCAUGUAUCCCUUUCCUGAGCUAUGAGUUGUUCGAUCAGCCCAUAAUGCAAAUAACGAAAGUCAUGGCCAUUUUCUAACCUUUCUAUUAUAAGCUUUAACUAAUGCUUUCACAAUCGAUGGAUGACUACGUUCACUUUUUGCAUUUCCUUUAAGAUUAUAAGCAGUAGUCAGUGAUAGUUUAAUUCCAUAUCUUUCAAAGAAUUCACGAGCUUCUUAUGCAUUUAAUUCUCCACGAUCUACAAUGAUUUUUCCUACACAUCCGUAGCGGCAAAUAAUAUCUUCAAGCAAAAAUCUAUAAAUUCCUUCCAUAGAUUUUGUUCUCAAUGCUCUUCCUUUUACUUGAUUUGAUAAAUCUUCAUGAGCUAAGACUAAAUAUUUCAUUUGCCAUAACUCGAUUGGCAUAAUAACCAAAUCAACAACCCAUUUAAAAUGAAUAGCUAGAGGAUAUGUAGGAUGAAGACCAUCUCGAUGUCGUAUAUUAGAAUACGCUUGACAAAUUUUACAUGAUUCUACAAAUAAGAGCACAUCUCGAUACAUAUUUUUCCACCAAUAUCGUUUCUUAAGUUUAGCAAAAGUAGCCCAAAUUCCUCGAUGUCCUGCCCAUAAACUAUCAUGAAACCCCUUUAAUAAUUUUUGUUUCUCUUCCUUAUUGCCUAUUACUCUUGUGGAAUUCCAAUUCCUUUCUUUGGUCUCUUUCAUAAGAAUCCUUUUUGAAGCAAAAAUCCAUAUGCUUUUUUUCUUAUUUGUUUAAAUUUUUGUGUAGACCAAUUUUUUUGUUUAGUCAAGAUAUUGAAGUAAUGACUAAUAUCCAAUAAUUCUUCUUCAUAAAACUCUUCAAGAAAUAGCUUGUCUUCUUUGUUAAGAUUUGAUACUGAAUAGAAUUUUGAUCCAACAUCAUCAAUGUCUUCAACCAUUUUGUCUUCUCUUUUAUAUCUUGCUGUAGAUAACAUGUCUGCUACUAAAUUUUCUUUUCCAAUAACAUGCUUAAAUUCUAGAUUUAAUGACUUAAUAUAAGUAAUCUAACUUAACAUUACAAUAUCCGGUGUUGAACAAUUAGUAAUCAUUCCAAGUAAUGGUAAGCAAUCUGUUUCAAUUACUACUGCUGCACCAAACAAAUAAUCUCUUUUAGCUUUCAUAGCUGAAACAACUCUCCAAAGUUCUCUUUUGACUUGCAAAUAUAUAUGUUGACAAGUACUUAAAACUUUAGCUCAAAAUCAAACUGCAAAUCUAUUUCCACUUCAAUCAUCUUAACCCACAACCCAUCCAAUAGCAAUAGGACUAGUAUCCACUGUAAAAAUUACUUGUCUAUUACAGUCCUAAUCAAUUUUUUUUAAAAUUGGAGGUGUCACCAAUAACACCUUUAGCUUCUACAUUGCUUCAAUAUGCUUUCUUUUCCAUUUAAAUCGAUAACCCUUACGUAAUAAUUCAUACAAUGGAUUUGCUACAUGAGCAUAAUGAAGAAUCCAUAUACGAUAAAAUACACAAGCUCCUAAAAACCUGUGUACUUCUAUUAAAGAGUCACAUGAAUCCUUCAUCCUUCCAAUUGCAUCUAAUUUGCUUGGAUCUAACUUUCUCCCAUAAAAUCCAUACAAAUGCCCAACAAUAAGAACUUCUUGUAUUCCAAAUAUAGAUUUUACUCCUGAAAGUGUAAGAUGAACCUCUUCAAGUCGAGUUAAAAUCUUUUCACAAACUUGUAUUUGAUCAACAACAUAUUUGCGACACACCUUCUCAUCUAAAGUUUCAUCUUUUUUUCCUUCUUUACAUCCUUUGAUAAGAACAUCAUCUAAAAAAGGCAUAGUUUUUUCUGGAAUGAAGUCUCUUAGUACCUUGUUCAUCCCAUUCAUCAUAUGUGCAACUGAGUUAGUAGCACCUUGUGGGAGAAUAUACAUUUUAAGCAAUCCAAGUGGCAUUCUCAUUUUUGUUAGAUUUCUACUCCCAUGGACAAGUUGAAAUUGAUCAUAACCCGAAUAUAAAUCACCCAUUGAAUAAAUUACUCUACCCUCAAAUGCUUCUGUAAAUUCAUCUACUAAAGGUUCAUACUUGUAUUUCUUAUAGUUACUACAUUUAUUGGUUGCAUAUCUUGAAUAAAACAUAACGAUCUAUUUUUCUUAGGCACCAUAAAUCAACGACUAAAAUAUGGAGCAAAAGAAGGCUUCAAAAUUUUCAUUCACAUCUUUUCUUUCAAUAAUUCCACUAAUUUAGGUAAAUGUGCGAUCAGCACGAGAAUUGGCCUAAAGUUUCAAGGCACAUGAGGUACUGUAAAGAUAACCAUAGGAGCAACAAUAUUAGGAUCUACACAUCCUAUUUUACGAGACCCAAAGAUAAAUGAUUUACCUCGUUUUACAAGCAUUUUUUUUAAAAAUUCAAUUUUUGUUAGAAAUAAAGAACCAUCACGUCCAAUCUUCAAUCCUUCAAAAGUCUCCUUUGUAAACUGAUGUCCAAUCUUCUUUGGAUCUCUUAAACUCUCUUCUUUUGAUGCUUCUUCUAUUUAUUCUUUAAAAUCUUCUGAUAAAGGUCCAGCAACAUGUUUUACUUUUUUAUCUACUAUUUUAUAUUUUAUCUCUAUAUUAACUUCUGGUGCUUGAAAAGAUUCAAGUAUAGAAUAAACCUCCCUCGAAUGAAUUUUCACAAUCUUAUCAUUAUCCCCUAAUCCAAUAGAUGCAAUUAAUUCUAAAGAAUCCUCGAAUCCAUUUUCUUCAUAAACACCUAAAAUCUUCUCAUCAUCUUCUAAUGUCUCUAACUUGCAUAAUUCCUUUUCAAUACUAUAUAAUCUUUUUCUUUCUUUUCUUUUAAAAUCAUCAAUUUUCUUAUACAUAAUAUUUCUAUUCUCAAAAAUAUCAAUAAAACUCGUAUCAAAGGUACCUUCAUCUCGCAAGAGUACCUCCUCUUUUGUACCUCCAUAAUCUCACUUUAUAGUGGUACUUUUCCAAAAUCCUUAAAUCCUUCAACAAUCCUUGGCAAUGGUUUCUCCCUCAACCUAUCUCGAUUCCAUUCAUGAUUAGGAGGUACUGUCAAAAAUUGUACAACUUUCCUUCCAUCUUCACUGUGUACCCUUGCAUAAACAGAACCAUCGUUUAGUACUUUUGUUUCCAUCCGUGUUGCCAGUGUUGUGUUGUAACACGAGUAUACCGUGAAAAUAUAAAGAAAGGGGACUUUUAUUAAUGUUCAGUUACCUCGAAUAUUGGGAGCAACGACCAACUCCAGUGCAAAUACUUAGUGGCCAGGUUCAGUCACCCCAUUACAGUCAGCUGGGGCAUACUGAAAUGCUCCGUUUGAUUCCAAUAACGAGAGUCAGCAGGAAGAGAAAGGACCAAUUCACACAACAGGUGAGCCUAGUUCGAAAAGCCAAUUGGAUCCAAUUUCAAGAAUCCAAUCCGGGUCCUCUUUCCCAAUAUGAGACCUGCAUUGGUCGAACAACCCAAUGCAGUCUAAUUAUCGAAAAAUUGAGGUCUUACUACGGGCCUCAGCCAGUCUGACGCGAAGGACCAAUUUGACCCAAUUAUAUGAACAUCCAGGUUACUACGAGCAUCUUACCCAAUAUGAGACCUGAAUUGGUCGUGCGACUCAAUGUGGUCCCGAUUACGAGGUUUCGAUUUUGUUUCAGGCUGUCCUGUUCUCUGUGCCGUUUCAGGGAACGUUGUUUUUGGUAAAUGGAUCUCUUAAAGGUAAAAACGGAGGAGAAAGCCUUGAUGACAAGAGCCAAUUUUGGAUCUAAGCUCUGACGGUUGGAGCCAAUUCCGGAUCCAAGACGGAAGAUUGAAGAAAUUCAGAGGAUAAGGUUAGGGGAGGGUUUUUUUUAUGGGGGGUUUUUGAAGAAGGGGAGAGCUAGCUUCAUGCUUCGGGUGGGGAAAGAAGACAGAGAAUUGGGUUUUUUUUCUUCAUAGGGUUUUGGAAAGACUGAGGCAAUCAUUGCUGAAGUCAGUGUUGUAAUGGUGAAUCCGGAUUUUUAAUGAAGUGGGUUUGAUUAUUCUUGACUGUUUUAUGAAAUCGAAUUACGUCUGUGAUGAAGAGUCAAAAGGGUGUCUAUAGGAUUGAGUAUGCGGAGUGAAUGAAAUUUAUUGGGUUAAUCUAACAAGACAAUUAGUGGAUACAAAAUCGUGAAUAUAAAGCGGUAUCGAAGAUUAGCAGUUUGGAUUGUUCGGGGUUCUCUGUAACGUUUAGAGACCUACCGGUCGGGACAAAAAAGACUUCGACAAGCAGUCGAACGGCAUCCGUAUAGAUUUAUGGUAUAUUCUUAUAGUCGUUUAUACUCUAAUAGUCAAAAAUUGAUAGACUGCUUGACUAUUGGCAAAUCUCCAUACUACCUUCUACAGCCAGACGCUCGACGUGUUCUCGAGCACGAAAGCACGUAAUACGACAAAAGUGGUGAGCCCAACGUGAAAGCUUGAGGUGGAAGGUAUUGGAUUUCAGUUGAUUUUAUCUUUAUUUUAUGGAAAACGAAAAUAAAAAUUUUGAAGGAUUUUUGAGAGGAGUUUUUGGUGGGGAUUCUUCUAAAGGACAAGGUAUGCACAUGGAUCCGUCUAUUGCUAGUAUGUUUCAAGCCUUCUCAUUAUCAAUGCAGCAACAGCAAAGCAAUGAUCGAAAGGAAGCUUUGGCAACCAAAGUAUUGCAAGCAGUGGUCAAUAAAAUUGAUCAAUUUGAUGGGAGGAAUAUUUCAAGGUAUUUAAGAUGUUAUGUUCGUGAAAUGGAAUUAAAUCGGGUUUGUGAGAAGAAAAUGGUUGAAUUAUUUGGACUUGCCACGAUACCGGAGAUAAGAGACCACAUUACAUCGAUUACGGAUCAUUAUGGGAAUUCAUGGGAGGUUUUUUCACAUGCAUUGAAAGACAAAUAUUUCUUGGAAGAUGCUGAUCGCGUUACUAAGAAGCUGUUUCUAGAAUGGAUUGAACGGUCGAAUAAGAAUUUACAAGCAACAGAGCUAUUAAGGGAAUUUGAGAGGCAGUACUCUCAAUUAUCGAAGGUAGAAAAAUUGACAUUGGAGCUGAACAAAGUUGGUCUAUUUCUUCAAGCUGCUCAUGGAGAAUUGCAAGGAAAAUUAGAACUUCUUCUUGAAGACAAAGAAGAAUAUGAAGGAUUGACAACAAAGUGGAAGAACGUUGAAGAUGUGAUGCGGUUGCUUACAAAAAAAGAAAGGAGGAAGGAUAGGAGCAAUAUUCCGAAAACAGUACAAGCACCCAAAGCUCCAGUACGUACAACACCACCAACAAUGCCUACAGUUCAACCUUUGACAUCCUUAUCAAAGAAAGCAGAUAUGGGAAUGGAAGAAAUUAUACGAGGAAUACGAGAUCUUCAAAUCAAAUUGGCAAGACUUGAAGAGAAUACUUUUAUAAAUAAUUCGAAGAAUGUUUCAAAACAAGGAUAUGUACAAAGAUGCAUUUGGUGUGAUGAUGCUUCACACACUAGAAAAGAUUGCAAUGAAUUUAAUAAUAUGAUACAGCAAGGAAUUAUUUGCUGGAAAGAUGGGAAGAUAGCAUUGAAAGAUAGGGAAGAUCUUCUUCAAACCAAUUUUGGCAAGGGAAGAAGGAGAGCAUUGGUUCAAGAUUACCUAAAAGAGCAUGAAACAGCAGCACGAGAAAGUGCAAGUUAUGGUGCUAGAGUAGAUGAUGAAAUUGGUGGAAGUACGGAAAUUAGUGAGUUUUGGGCUUCUGCCAUUUCUAUAAUGCAAGAAGGGAAAUUACCUCGAGAAGCGUUAUUGAGGACUUUAGCUACAAUACGAGGUAGAAUAGGUUAGGAGGAUCCUGUUGAGUCUCUUUCAGUUCAUGCAUAUAUUGCUAAGAGCCAACAUGAAGCUUUGAUGGAAGAAAAGAGACGAGGAAAUUUUGAUGAUACUAGAGAAGGAAAUUCUUCUAAGAGGCAAACUCGAGGAGACAAGGCUCGGGAGGCAGCUUCAUAAGAAUUGCCUGUAAAGGAUACCUCAGCAUCAUUGGGAGAAAAAACAAAGGAGACAAAAGAUAAAGGCAAACCAAUUGCUUAUAAGCUACUUUUUGACAUUGAAGCGGCAACAAAUUUGAAAGGGAUGUUGGAAGAACGUAUAUUAAAUGCUAAGGUGGAAUUCACAUUGAAAGAAGUCUUGGAAAUUGUAAAGAAGGAGUUUCAUGAUGUUAUCAUUGACAGCAUUAAGCGAAAUAGGCAAUUAAUGGACGAAACUGGAAUGAGUCAUGCUAUUGAUGCAAGAAUAUAUAGAGAUGAAGAAGAGGUUGAUAUUGGUUACAAGCAACCAACAAAUGAAAAGAAUGGGUAUAAUCAACGAGUACGUUUCGAAGAUUCUAGUGACAAGGAAAUGGAAACUUUGAGCCAUUAUACUCGAAAGCAUUGGACAAGGGCAACUACUGAGGUAUUGGUGAAAGUAGGAGAUAUAGAAGAACCAAUUGUUGCUUUAGUCGACCAUGGUUCUGAAACAAAUCUCAUGUCUAAAGAUCUUUAUAAGAAGCAAAAAUGGCCAAUUGAUAUGGAACAUGGAUGGGCAAUUCGAGGAGCUAAUAACACACGAGGCGAAUUAUAUGGAGCUUUUCCAGAUGUCAAAAUUCGGAUUGGGGAUGUUGCGAAAGAGCAACAUUUCUUUGUUCAAGAUACAACGUCUUAUCCGUUGAUUUUAGGACAAUCUUAUAUUACGGCAACACAGAUGGAAACAAAAGUACUCAACAAUGGUUUUGCUUAUGCAAGGGUACGUAGCGAAGAUGGGAAGAAAGCUGUACAAUUUCUAACAGUACCUCCUAACCAUGAACGGAAUCGAGAUAGGUUGAGGGAGAAACCAUUGCCAAAGAUUGUUGAAGGAUUUAAGGAUUUUGGGGAGGUACCACUGUAAAGCGAGAUUAUGGAGGUACAAAAGAGGAGGUACUCUCGCGAGAUGAAGGUGCCUUUGAUGCGAGUUUUAUUGGUAUUUUGGAGAAUGGAAAUAUUAUGUAUAAGAAAGUUGAUGAUUUUAAAAGAAAAGAAAGAAAAAGAUUAUAUGAUAUUGAAGGACAAUUACGCAAGUUAGGUACAUUGCAAGAUGAUGAGAGGAUUUUAGGUGUUUAUGAAGAAAAUGGACUGGAAGAUUCAUUGGAAUUGAUUACAUCUAUUGGGUUAAGAGAUAAUGAUAAGAUUGUUGAGAUUCAUUCAAGAGAGGUUUAUACCAUACUUGAAUCUUUUCAAGCACCAGAAGUCACUGUAGAGACGAGAUAUAAAACGGUAGAUAGGAAGGUAAAGCGUGUUGCCGGACCAUUGCCAAAAGAUUCUAAAGAACAAAUGGGAGAAGCAUCAAAAGAAGCAAGUUUAAGAGAUCCAAUGAGUAUUGGACAUCCGUUUACUAAAGAGACUUUUGAAGAAUUGAAGAUUGAUUCUGAUGGUUCUUUAUUGCCAGAGGAAAUUACUUGCUUCAAAAAGAUGUUGGCUAAACAAGGUAGAUCGUUUGCUUUUGAAUCUCAUGAAAUUGGGUGUGUGGAUCUGAAUAUUUUAACACCUAUGGUUAUCUUCACUGUACCACAUGUACCUUGAAAUCUAAGACUGAUUCCAAUAUCGAGGACACAUUUACCUAAAUUGGUUGAGCUAUUAAAAGAAAAGAUAAAGAUGAAAAUAUUAGAACCCUCGUUUGCACUGUAUUCUAGUCGAUGGUUUACGAUACCUAAGAAGAAUGGGUCACUACGGUUUAUUUAAGAUAUGCAACCGGUGAAUGCAGUAACUGUCAGGAAUGUAGGAAUUGGACCAAUUGUGGAUGAAUUUGCUGAGGCGUUUGCUAGAAGGGCGAUCUAUUCAAUGGGUGAUUUGUAUUCAGGUUAUGAUCAAUUUCAACUUGUCAAAGGAAGUAGAGAUAUGACAACGAUGAGGACACCGCUUGGAUUGGUUAGAAUGUGCACUAUUCCUCAAGGCGCGACCAACUCAGUUGCGCAUAUGAUGAAUGGGAUGAAUAAGGUAUUGAGAGAUUUUAUUCCGAAAAAGACUAUGUCUUUUCUGGAUGAUGUUCCUAUAAAAGGGUGCAGAGAAGGAGACAAGGAUGAAACUUUAGAUACGAGGGGGUGUCGCAAAUAUGUUGUUGAUCAUAUACAAGUUUGUGAUAAGAUUUUAACUCGGCUUGGAGAAGUUCAUCUUACAUUAUCGGGUAUGAAGUCCGUAUUUGGAGUACGAGAGGUUGUAAUUAUUGGACAUUUAUGUGGAUCUUAUGGAAGAAAACCAGAUCCGACUAAAGUUGAUGCAAUUGGAAGGAUGAAAGAGGAUUGUGAUUCUUUAAUAGAGGUUCGCAGGUUUUUAGGUGCAUGUGUAUUUUAUCGAAUCUGGAUCCCUCAUUACGCUCACAUAGCGGAUCCAUUAUAUGAACUGUUACGCAAGGGUUACCGAUUUAAAUGGAAAGAAAGGUAUAUUCAGGCAAUGCAAAGAUUGAAAAAAUAUGAUGUCACCUCCAAUAUUGAGGAAGGUUGAUUAUAAGUGCAAUAGACCAGUGAUUCUUACUGUGGACGCUAGUCCAAUUGCCAUUGGAUGGGCUGUGGAUCAAGAUGAUUCAAAUGGGAGUAGAUUUGCGGUUCGAUUUGGGGCUAAAGUUUUAAGUAUUCGUUAGCGUGCAUAUUCGCAAGUCAAAAGAGAACUUUGGGGAGUCCUUUCGGCUAUAAAAGCUGAAAAGGACUAUUUGAUUGGGGCAGUAGUAGUAAUUGAAACAGAUUACUUGCCAUUGUUUGGAAUGAUUACUAACUAUUCAACGCCAGAUAUUGCAAUGUUGAGAUGGAUUGCUUAUAUUAAGUCACUAAAUCUAGAAUUUAAGCAUAUUACUGGGAAGGACAAUUUAGUAGCAGACAUGCUAUCUCGAGCAAGAUAUGAGAAGGAGGACAAAAUGGUUGAAGAUAUUGAUGACGUCGGAUUGAAAUUCUAUUCAAUAUCAAAUCUCAACAGAGAAGACAAGCUAUUUCUUGAAGAAUCUUAUGAAGGAGAGUUAUUUGAUAUUGGUCAUUAUUUGAAUACCUUGACUAAACAGGGGAAUUGGUCUACAAAAAAAUUCAAAUAAAUAAGAAAAAAAGCAUAUGGAUUUUUACUUCGAGAUGGAUUCUUAUGGAAGAGACCGAAGAUAGGAAUUGGGAUGCCACGACGAGUGAUAGGCAAAAAGGAAGAAAAACUAAAAUUAUUAAAGGAGUUUCAUGAUAGUUUAUGGGCAGGGCAUAGAGGAAUCUGGGCUACUUUUGCUAAACUCAAGGAACGAUAUUGGUAGAAAAAUAUGUAUCGAGAUGUGCUCUCAUUUGUAGAGUCAUGUGAAAUCUGUCAAUCAUAUUCUAAUAUCCGACAUUGAGAUGGUCUUCAUCCUACGUAUCCUCUGGCUAUUUAUUUUAAAUAGGUUGUUGAUUUGGUUAUUAUGCCGGUUGGGUUAUGGCACAUGAGAUAUUUGGUUUUAGCUCGCGAAGAUUUAUCAAAUCAAGUAGAAGGAAGAGCAUUGAGGACAAAAUCUACAGAGGGGAUUUGUAGGUUUUUGCUUGAAGAUGUCAUUUGCCGCUACGGAUGCGUAGGAAAAAUCACUGCAGAUUGUGGAGAAUUAAAUGCACAAGAAGCUCGUAAGUUCUUUGAAAGAUGUGGAGUUAAACUAUCACUGACUACUGCUUAUAAUCCAGAAGGGAAUGCAAAAAGCGAACGCGGUUACCCACCAAUUGUGAAAGCAUUAGUUAAAGCUUGUAAUGGGAAAGUUAAAGAAUGGCCACGGCUUUUGUCAUUUGCAUUAUGGGCUGAUCGAACAACACAUAGUUCUGUGACAGGAUAUAUGCCAGUAGAACUUAUGACAGGUCGAAAACCAAUUAUGCCGAUUGAAGAAAAGGUAUUUACUUGGAGUAUGCUACCAUGGGAAGAUGGAUUGACAAGAGAAGAACUUCUGGCUAUUAGGAUUCGACAAUUGGAACAAAGAACGGAAGAUGUCCAGAUAGCAUUGGGAAGGUUAAAAAGAACAAGGUUACAAAACAAGGUGCGAUUUGACAAGCAACAUCGAUUGAGACCUAAAGCAAUCGAAGAAGGUGACUGGAUACUUGUUUAUGACAAUAGUUUGGAUAAUCAACAUAGUACUUUGCGGAAAUUUUCAAAACGUUGGUUUGGACCAUAUGUAGUAACAACUGUUCAUGAUAAUGCGACUUAUUCAUUACGGGAGUUAGAUGGUAUAAAAUUGAAAAUACGAAUUGCAAGGAAGCGAGUAAAAAUAUUUAAACAAAGACACACGGAGAUGAAUAUAGAAGACCUUAAUGAAGGUAUAGAGAUUCCACAGCAAGAAGAUGAAAGUGAUUUGGAUAAUGAAGGUGACGAUGACGAACUAGACAAAGACAUAGAGGAUAUAUUCUGAAUCAAACAGCAAUUGGGUAAAUUGGUGCAUACCGGAGGAUGCACAGGUUCAGAGGGGGUGGAUGUCCUAUUGUAACACGAGUAUACCGUGAAAAUAUAAAGAAAGGGGACUUUUAUUAAUGUUCAGUUACCUCGAAUAUUGGGAGCAACGACCAACUCCAGUGCAAAUACUUAGUGGCCAGGUUCAGUCACCCCAUUACAAUCAGCUGGGGCAUACUGAAAUGCUCCAUUUGAUUCCAAUAACGAGAGUCAGCAGGAAGAGAAAGGACCAAUUCACACGACAGGUGAGCCUAGUUCGAAAAGCCAAUUGGAUCCAAUUUCAAGAAUCCAAUCCGGGUCCUCUUUCCCAAUAUGAGACCUGCAUUGGUCGAACAACCCAAUGUAAUCUAAUUAUGGAAAAAUUGAGGUCUUACUACGGGCCUCAGCCAGUCUGACGCGAAGGACCAAUUUGACCCAAUUAUACGAACAUCCAGGUUACUACGAGCAUCUUACCCAAUAUGAGACCUGAAUUGGUCGUGCGACUCAAUGUGGUCCCGAUUACGGGGUUUCGAUUUUGUUUCAGGCUGUCUUGUUCUCUAUGCCAUUUCAGGGAACGUUGUUUUCGGUAAAUGGAUCUCUUAAAGGUAAAAACGGAGGAGAAAGCCUUGAUGACAAGAGCCAAUUUUGGAUCUAAGCUCUGACGGCUGGAGCCAAUUCCGGAUCCAAGACGGAAGAUUGAAGAAAUUCAGAGGAUAAGGUUAGGGGAGGGUUUUUUUAUGGGGAGGUUUUUUGAAGAAGGGGAGAGCUAGCUUCAUGCUUCGGGCGGGGAAAGAAGACAGAGAAUUGGGUUUUUUUUCUUCAUAGGGUUUUGGGAAGACUGAGGCAAUCAUUGCUGAAGUCAGUGUUAUAAUGGUGAAUCGAGAUUUUUAAUGAAGUGGGUUUGAUUACUCUUGACUGUUUUAAUGAAAUCGAAUUACGUCUGUGAUGAAGAGUCAAAAGGGUGUCUAUAGGAUUGAGUAUGCGGAGUGAAUGAAAUUUAUUGGGUUAAUCUAACAAGACAAUUAGUGGAUACAAAAUCGUGAAUAUAAAGCGGUAUCGAAGAUUAGCAGUUUGGAUUGUUCGGGGUUCUCUGUAACGUUUAGAGACCUACCGGUCGGGACAAAAAAGACUUCGGCGAGCAAUCGAAGGGCAUCCGUAUAGAUUUAUGGUGUAUUCUUGUAGUCGUUUAUAUUCUAAUGGUCAAAAACUGAUAGACUGCUUGACUAUUGGUGAAUCUCCAUACUACCUUCUACAGCCAGACGCCCGAUGCAUUCUCCAGCAAGAAAGCACGUAAUACGACACCGCAAUAUAAGAUUAUUCUAAAAUAAAUGGAUAAGACGUUGUAUCUUGUAUAAAGAAAUGUUGUUCUGUCGCAACAUCUCCAAUCCAAAUUUUGACAUCUGGAUAAGCUCCAUAUAAUUUGCCUCAUUUGUUAUUAGCUGCUCGUAUUGCCCAUCCAUGUUCCAUAUCAAUUGGCUAUUUCCGCUACUUAUGAAGAUCCUUAGAUAUAAGAUUUAUUUCAAAACCAUGGUCAAUUAAAGCAACAAUUGGUUCUUGUAUAUCUCCUACUUUCACGAAUACUUCAGUAGUUGUCCUUGUCUAAUGUUUUCGAGUAUAAUGGCUUGAAGCUUCUAUUUCUUUAUCACUAUAAUCUUUGAAACGUACUCAUUGAUUAUAUCCAUUUUUUUCAUUUGUUGAUUGCUUAUAACCAUUAUCAACCUCUUCUUCAUCUUUAUAUAAUCAUGUAUCAAUAGCAUGACUCAUUCCAGCUUUGUCCAUUAAUUACCUCUUUUGCUUAAUACUGUCAAUGAUAACAUCAUGAAACUUCUUCUUUGCAAUUCCCAAAAUUUCUUUCAAUGUGAAUUCCACCUUAGUAUUUAAUAUACGUUCUUUCAACACCCCUUUUAAAUUUGUUGCUGCUUCAAUAUCAAAAAGUAGCUUAUAAGCAAUUGAUUUAUCCUUUUCUUUUGUCUCUUUUCUUUUUUCUUUCAAUGAUGCUGAAGUAUCCUUUAUAGACAAUUCUUGUGAAGCUGCCUCACGAGCCUUGUCUCCUCGAGUUUGUCUCUUAGAAGAAUUUCUUUUUCUUGUAUCAUCAAAAUUUUCUCGUCUCUUUUCUUCCAUCAAAGCUUCAUGUUGGUUCUUAGCAAUAUGUACAUGAACUGAAAGAGACUCAAAAGGAUCUUUCCAACCUGUUACACCUCAUAUUGUAGCUAUAGUCCUCAAUAACGCUUUCCAAGGCAUUAUUCCUUUUUAUAUUGUAGAAAUGGCAAAAGCCCAAAAUUCACUAGUUUCUUCACUUCCACCAAAGUCAUCAUCUACUCUAGUACUAUAACUUGCACUUUCUCGUGAUGCUACUCCAUGUUCUGUUAAACAAUCUUGAAUCAAUGCUCUCAUACUUCUUUUGCCAAAAUUGGUUUGAAGGAGAUCCUUUGUAUCCUUUGAUGCAAUUUUUUCAUCUUUUCAAUAAAUAAUUCCUUGAUCUACUAUAUUAUUGAAUUCAUUACAAUCCUUCCUAGUAUAUAAAGCAUCAUCACACCAAAUACAUCUUUGUACAUACCCUUGUUUUGAAACAUUCUUCAAUUUAUUUGUAGAAGUAUUUUCUUCGAGUCUUAUCAAUUUGAUUUGAAGAUCUCGCAUUCCAUGUAUAAUUUCUUCAAUCUCCAUUUCUCCUUUCUUUGAUAAAGAUGUUGAAGGUUGAACAGUAAACAUUGUUGGUCGUAUUGUAUGUACUGGAAUUUUAGGUGCUUGUACUGCUUUUAGAAUAUUACUCCUAUCCUUCUUCCUUUCUCUUUUUGUAAGCAAAUCUACUAUAUUUUUAAUAUUUUUCCACUUUGUUGUCAAUCCUUCAUUUUCUUCUUUGUCUUCAAGAAGCAACUCCAAUUUCUCUUGUAAUUCUCUAUCAGCAGCUUGAAGAAAUAAUUCAACCUUGUUCGGCUCUAAUGUCAAUUUUUCUACCUUCGAUAAUUGAGAAUACUGCCUUUCAAAUUCCCUUAGUAGCUCUGUUGCUUGUAAAUUCUUAUUAGGCCACUCAAUCCAUUCUAGAAAUAAUUUCUUAGUAACACAAUCAAUGUCCUCCCAAAAAUAUUCAUCUUUUAAUGCAUGUAAAAAAAUCUCCCAUGAAUUUUCAUAAUGCUCCAUAAUUGAGGUAAUAUGUUCUUUUAUCUCCAAUAUCAUGGCUAGUCCAAAUAAUUCAACCAUCUUCUUCUCAAAAACCCGAUUUAAUUCCAUUUUCCAAACAUAACAUCUUAAAUACUUCAAAAUAUCUCUUCCAUCAAACUGGUCAAUUUUAUUGACCACUGCUUGCAAAGCUUUGGUUGCUAAAGCUUCUUUGUGAUCAUUGCUUUAUUGUUGCUCUAUAGAUAAUGAUAAGGCUUGAAACAUAUAAGCAAUGGAUGGAUCCAUAUACAUACCCUAUCUUUUACAAGAAACUCCAUUAGAAGCUCCACUUAAAGCUCCUCCCAAAGAUCCUUCAAAAUUUUUAUUCUCGUUCUCCAUAAAAUAAAAUGAAAAUAAACAAAAUUUAAUACCGUCGACCUCAAGCUUUCAUGUUGGAUUUAUCACAUAUAUUGUAUUACGUGCUAUCUUGCUUGAGAACGCACCGGGUGUCUGACUGUGAAAGAUAAAAUAAUGUUUUGCAAGUAUCCAGAUAGGCUAGUGGGUUUCAACCAUAUAAAUACAAACUAUUUCAGAUUUCAAUGUAAAAGCUUAAUCCCAAUAUAAAGUGCUUAGAAACACUAUUUUUAAUAACUUCAAGAUAUUAUAAGCACAAAGUCUUUUGUUAUUUGUUAGUUUUAUUUAUUUUAUUUUUAUUUUAUUUUUUUCUAAUCUUAAUCCUAGACAGCAAGCUUCGACAAGCUGUAAUUCUCAAUUUGACCAUCCGAUUGUUGUAAACUUCUACUACUAGUGUCUUUGCAAGCCUUCUAAAUGCCCAAGAAGUUUCAAUCUAAUAUAACUUACAGAUUGCAAGAAAACACCAUAAAUCCACACUGAUGUAUCUUGACUGCCACCUAGAGGUCCUCGACUUAUCAUGCCAAAAGUCACCUAUUCCUGUUGGUAGAUCUUCAAAUAUUACAAAAACCUUAAACAACCCCAAUCUGCUAAUUUUCGAUACCUCUUCACACUAAUGGUCAAAUAUCCUCUAUCUGUUCCUUUAGAUUAAUACAAACUUUUGCAUGCACUCAGCAUAUUCCACCCUCUAGACACCUCUAAAUUUCAACCCCAGAAGUUUCUCCAACUUCACUAAACAGUUAAGAGUACUAGCCUUUACUUUAUUACAAAAAAAACCCAAUUCACCAAUACAAACACUGAUUUUGAGCAACAAUUGCAAAGUCCUCCCAAAUCCUAUGAGACCCAAUUCUACACCUUUUGAAGGAGCUUGAAGCUAGCUCUCCGAUCUCAAAUGUCGAUCUCCAAAUGCCCUCUUCUUUUUCCUCUCCUUUCCUUUAACUCCAUGAGAUCCCCUAUUUUUCCGCUCUAGACUCCGAAUUGGAACAGUUGACGGCGCUUCUUUAAAAUUCUUGUCUCUAAGAUGAUCUUAUCUCGGAAAAGAUGUUUCUCCUAGAACGGCAUAGAGAACAGAACAACUUGAGAUUGAACCAAAGCCUCUGUAAUCGAGACCUCAUUGGGUUGCCCAAUCGAGUCAAGUCUCAUACCGGAUAAGAGGCCCAUAUCAGGACCUAGAUUGGAUACCCUCAUAAUUGGAUCAAAUUUGCCCUUCAGAUCAGACUCACUCGAAUAUUGAAUUGGUCCUUUCUUCUUUUGCUGAUUCUUGGUAAGAACGGCUUGGACUUAUUCCAUGCAAUUUACUGGAGAAUCUUGAGGACCUCGAUUUAUCCUCUCAAUUUUUUCCUGGCUUUGGAUUUGUUGAUCCUGAUUAUUGAAAUUGAAUGGAGCAUUAAAUUGCUGAUAAGUAUGCCUCGACUACUUGCUAUUCCCACAUACUAGCAGGUAAUUGUCACUGGCUUUGGGAUUGAAACAUUCAGUGGCAUAAUGACUAACUUGUCUGCAACGGAAAUGACAAAGUGGUCUUCCUGCACCGCCAUCAUGCAUAUUGGAUGUCUCUACUAGUAUAUAUCUACUAGGCUUGUUCCAUGUAGGGUUGGAAAAUGAUCCUGGUUGUCCCAUUGGUACAGAGGGUACUUGGUUCGAUGACGCCAAUGGGAUGACAUUAACUGACCUCAAAUAUUGGCACUAGAAUUGGCCACUAUUUCUAACAUCCAAGAUGACUAAAUAUUAAUAACAUCUUUUUUAUUUAUAUUUUUACCAUAUAGUUGUGUUAUAACACGACAUUGGCCUUGAUGAAUAUAUUUCAAAAGACUUGAUAGCUUCCACUAUUACUUGACUUGCUCAUCUCUAGCCAAGUCUUUGUUCUUGAUGCCUUUCAAGUAAUUGAUUGUCACAUGAAUUGGCUUGAGCAACAAAUUAUUUUAAAGAUUCUACUCUCAACUUCAAAUCAUAAAGAAGUCGUAAAUCUUUUUCCAUGAAAGCUGUAAAUAAAAAGAGAGCACUUUCUGAUAGAAGUGCACUUAUGAAUCCAACUUGAGUAAAUACAUCAAGACAUUGAAAAGGAUGCAUUCUUAGAUAGAGCUUAAUUUGUUGCAAAAAUCCUUGGAAUUUGGAUCCUGUUCCAUCAAACUUCUUAAGCAUACUAAUUCUUUUUCCCAUCAUACUUAUGGAAACAAAACUCCCUGAAUUUGGUUGUGACAUUGAUUUACUUGCUUCCUUUAAUAUAAUAUAAUAUUAAAUAUUACACAACUUCUUGUCGCAGACUUUGAACUUCUUCCAUAAGUUUAGAGAUAGUACAUCUAUAAUUCAUGUUAGAAUUAUGUGAGAUUUUCACUCUAAAAGUGUUGUCAAGCUCAUGAAGAUCUGCAAUAGUUGUAAAUCUAUUCUUACUUCUCCUAGGUGUAGUAUCCAUAAUCUUUUCUUCCAUAGGGAAUUCAAAUUAAUCCAAAAAGUUAAAUUACAGGAGGGCAAUCCGCAACCUUUAAUAAAAAUUUCUACAAAGAGGGGUAAUCUACUCUCUUUAAGGAAAGAUUAUUAUUAAAAAACAAGAUUUUUUUGUUUAAAAGGUUAAUAAUCUGCAAUCUUCAAAAUUCAACAAUAGAAGUAGGAUAAUCCACUCACUUCGAAAAUAAGACAAAAAUAAUAUGUUAGCAUUCUUGGAAAUUGUUAGGGACAUGAAUCUCAAAGAAAAAGAAUCCUUGAUACAUCCUUGUUUCACUAAAGAGAACUAGAAAGUCAUUCAAAAUAUAAUAUAAUAUUAAGUAGAAUGGCUAUUGCCAAAAACAAGAAGACUAGAAAGCCUUGAAAUAAGACUUACAACUAGAAAGGCAUUGACAAGAGUGAAGAAGGCUUCAAUCUUGCUUCCAUAUAUACUCUUAACUAGGAGCUAUGUGGCAAUGUCCUAUAAGACCUCCAAAACUUGUUGACUUUGCUAGCCACAUGUUUUAAUUUGCAAGGUAAGUUAUCUAUGUAUGCGCCACAUGGUUAGCUUGUUCUACAAGCUAUUAUACAAAGUUAACUUCUUCCACAAGCUACCAACAUGUGGUUUAUUUGUUGGUCAAGUUUCCAACCUAUAAAUACAUCUAAAGUCAAAAUUGCAUCUAUGAAGCUUCUAAAAAGCUUUACUAAAAUACUCAAUGAAAUUAAUUUAUAUUUACCUACUUCUACCUAAUCAUAUAAGUAAUUAUUGAGGUAAAUGUAUAUAUCCAUAACAACUAUCUAGGUUGAAUUUUUAGAAUAUAUCAUUUUUGACAAAGGAUUAAUGAUGGAUCUUAAGAAAGUUUAGGAAAUUAUGAAUUAGAAGGUCUCAAAAUUAGUCAAAUAUGUGCAAAGUUUUUUAGAAUCCAUCAAUUAUUAUUGAAUCUUCAUCAAGAUUUUUUUCAAGUUGUGACUCUUCUUAUAUGUUUAAUAUAUAAAGACAAACUUUAGUACAGCAAAGUAGCAAAAAUAUCUUUUGAAGGCUUAAAUAUAACUUUUUAUUUUUCUACCAAUUUUAUAUUAUAUUAAUUUUUUUGAGGUUUUUUUCAUAGAGACAAAUGCAUUAGAUUUUAUUAUAAGUAUUUUUUUUUAUUACAAAUGAGAAUAAAUAAUAAGUUCCAUGCAGUUGCUUUUUAUUCCACAAAAUUUUUAGUAGUAGAGAUUAAUUACAAGAUCUAUAAGAUAGAAAUUCUUGCAAUUAUAGAUUUGUUUCAAGAAUGGCAUCAUUAUGUAGAAGACGCUUCUAAUUCAAUUAUUCUAUAUACAAAUUAGAAGAAUCUCAAGUACUUCAUGUCAAUACGUAUUUUGAAUCAUCACAAAAUCCAUUAGAAUUUAUCUUUAUUAAGAAUUGAUUUUAAGAUCACCUAUAAAUCCAAAAUAUAGUAAGAUUUAUCAAAUACCCUUUUUAGAUGUUCUUAUUUUGCAUCAAAAUAAAGAGAUGCAACUUUUGAUCAACAAAGAAUAAUUCUUUUGAAGCCAAAGUAUUUUCAUCUUUAAGCAAUAAAAUCAAUAUUCAUUGUUGAUUCGACCUUUAUCAAGAAAAUUCAAUUAAAUAUAUAUUUUGAUCCUCUUAUUCAUAAUAUCAAGAAUAAUUCUUCUAAGUCUCAUGAUACUUCUAAGUUUGAAUUUAAGAAUAAUUUACUCUUUUUUGAUAGACAAUUAUAUAUUUCAAAAGACAAAGUACAAUAAAAUUAUCAUAUUAUAACAUGACUAUAUGGUGAAAGAUGAUAAUAUGUAUCUUAUUAUAGAAGAGCCAAGUUAAAAGAUAAAGUAGAAAAAUAUGGAUAAAAGAUAAGAAGGUAGUAAUUUAUUUUAUAAUGAUACUACCUUUUUAGAAAAGUGACUUCUAUUUAUUUUGUAGGGCCAUAAAUAAAAAAAAAUAAAAUAGAUUGGAAAAUAAAGAAUAAAGGCAUCUUUUGGAGAAAGUUAAGAGUAAAUUCUAGUAAAAAUUACCUAAAAAAACUAGAUAUUGAUACUUGGAGAGGACCAGUUAUGAACUAGGAUUGAAAUCAGAUCCUAAGGCACAAAACCAAGCCUUGACAAUAAUUUAGGGAUUCUUUGGUAGAUCGGAGACUAAAAUUAGAGAGCAAACUUGAUAAGUUUUUGAUGAGCAUUGGUUUUGGGUGAUUUAGAUUUGUAUUGACUUUGUAAGAGCUUUGCAAGUCAAGGUUUGUUUUGGAUGACUCUGGAUUUAUGAAAUAAAAUUGAAGAUACUUUUGGGAGAAUUCUAUAAGCUUGGCAAUAGAUCUAAAAAUAAAGUUUUGAGGAUUUGUGGGUAUAUAUGUGCUCAAUAAAUUUUGUGAUUUUGAACUUGAUCAAUAGGAUGGAUUGAAGAUUAUUGAGGUUUAAGUUGAUCAAGAUCUCAAAAAAUAGAGUUUUAGGUCUAAUGAGAGUUCUAAGAUUUCUUGCAAUCUAUUGAAUGGAUUAGAGUGAAAGUUAUAUAUGUAGAUAGUAGAAUUAUUUUCUUACAUAUUUGAAAAAUUUGAAGUCAAUUGAAUGGUUCAAUAAAGAGAUAUUGGUGCUUGAAAUUCAACAUUUAGAUUGAAGAAGGAGGCUAUCCAACAUCCGAGCAAAUAUUAGGGUCAAUCUUUUUUUUGUUGAGUUUGAUCUUCUUUUAAAAUUUUGUGCUUGCUAUUAAGUUAAUUUUUAAAAGGUGUAAAAAAUUUGAGUUAAAAUCAACAAUUCAUUUAUUAGUUAUUGACGUUUAAAUUUGCUAUAAAAAUCAUUUGGAUUUAUUUAAGGUUUGGUUAAGAUUUGUUUAGGAUUUGGUUAGGAUUUGUUUAGGAUUUGACUAGGAUUUGUUUAGGAUUUGGUUAGGAUUUAUUUAGGAUUUGUUUAGAAUUUUUUCAAGAUUUGAUUAGGAUUUGAUUAGAAUUUGUUAGGAUUUCACUAGAAUUUAUUUAGGAUUUGGUUAAGAUUUGACUAAAAUUUGAUUAAAAUUUGAUUAGGAUAUAAUUAAAUAUUCAAAAAUAUUCAAAAAUAUACUAAAAUAUAUUUUAAUAUUUUAUUAAGAUUUCUAUUUUAGUAUAUUUUUGAAUUUCUAUAUUAUUUCUUUAUGAUUUCUUUAAAAAGUCUUUAAGAAUACUUUGUAUUUCUUACAUAAUUCCUUUGAAAUUUUGAUUGAAUUUGAUUGAUGUUUGAUUGUAUUUACUAAUCUUUAAUUAUAAUUUAUUUAAGAAACUAUUAGAGUUGUUAAGACUUGUUGUUGCAUUUUUUCUUUUAUCUUCCACAGCCAGGUACCCAGUGCAUUCUCAAGCCAAACUUCAUGUAAUACGACAACCUAUUCUACAAGCUUGUCAUGACUUUCCAUCAACCAAAAAUUUUGGAUACAAGAAAACUUUAGAGAUAAUAUUUGAAAUGUACCAUUAGCUAUCAUCAAGAUGAUUGGGCAACUCUUUUGCUAUUGAUAGAGUUUGCAUAUAGUAAUUUAAUACAUUCUUCUAUUCAACAAAUACCUUUCUUUUUCAAUUAUGGUUACUUCUACAACUUCAUAUUUUUAACUUUUUAAAAGUUGAUAAUCAUGUGGCAAAAUAUUUAGCAAAUCGUUUGUCAAAAUUAUAUAUAACAAUAAAAAUAUGAUUAAAGGAAAUUCAAGAAUGACAAAAGUUUAAUGCAAAUACCUAUAUAAGGAAUAAUCAUAAUUCAAUGUAGGUGAUAGGAUUUGGCUACUUCAUCAUAAUAUUAAGAUUUCUUGUUCUUGUGACAAGUUAGACUAUUAUAAGCUUAGACCUUUUCUUAUUAGUAAAUAAGUCAAUCUUAUUGUUUAUAGAUUAUAUCUACCAAAGUCUAUGAAGAUCUAUCACAUAUUCUAUAUAUUUUUUCUUGACCCAUAUAAGAUAAUAAAUGUCUUGGAAAGAAAAAAAAUAUCACCUCCUUUUAUAGAAGUAGAUAAUAAUCAAGAAUUUGAGGUGGAAGAAGACUUAGAUUCAAAGAAGUGCCAAAAAGGUUAGAAUAUUUUAUUCAUUGGCAUGGUGUUGUGAUGUAAUACAACUAAUAGGUGAAAAAGGUGAAGAAAUUAUUAUAUUAUAGAUGAUCUUAUUUCAAAUAUUAUAGCAAAUUAUCUUCAAAAAUAGACAAUAGUUCAAAAGAAAGUAAAACUAAAGGUGUAAAUGCUACCUUCUUACAAAGUAGGCUUCUACUUAUUUUAUAAGGACAUAAAUAAGACAAAACAAGAUAGAUUAAAAAAAUAAAGAAUAUGAAUAUAUAUAAGAGGAAGUUAGGAGUUGAUUUGAGAAAAAAUUAAUUCAAAAAGGCAAAAUUUGAUACCUAAAGAGGACCAUCUAUCAACUUGGAUUGAAGUCAAAUCCUAAGGUACAAAAUUACACACUUAUGGCAAUUCCGGAAUUCAUUUGGAGAUCAAAGAGUAGAAUUUGAAAGUAGAAUUAAUAAAGUUUUUUUAGGCAUUAAUUCUGAAUAAUUUGAAUGUAUAAUGACUUUGUAAGAGCUUUACAAGGUUACAAUUGUUUUUAGUGACUCUAGAAUUUGUAAAAUAAAAAGGGUAGAAUGUCUUAGAAAAUUUUGUAAGUUUAAUAGUAGAUUUACAAUUCAAAUUUUGAAGUUUUAUAGAAAUAGUUGUUUAAAUUGUAUGAUAUAAAUUUGAAUUUGAUCUAACAAUUGGAUUAAAGAUUAUUAAAUUUUAAGUAGGUUGAAAUCUUAGAAAUUGGACUUUGAGAGGCACUUAAGAUUUCUAAGUUCUUCAAUAAUUUACUAGUUGGAUUAGAGUGAAAUUUGUGUAUAAAGGUUAUAGACUUGAUUUUCUAAAUAUAUAUGAAUUUUUAAUAUAAUUAAAAAAUACAAAAGAAGAGAUAUUGGUAUUAAAAGACUAGUAUCUAGGUUGAAGAAGGAGAUUGGCUAAUACCUAAAUAGAUUUUGAUAUAUUUCUUAUAUUUGGUAAGUUUGAUUUUUUUCAAAUUUCAUGGUCUUCUUGCCAACUUAUUUUUUGAAAAGUAUAUAAAAUUUUAAGCAAGAUCAAUGCCUUAAUCAAUAGAUUUUGAGGUUCUAAAUUGUACUAGGAUUAUAUUAAAUUGAUUGGAUUUUGAUUAAGAUUUGGUUUAGGAUUAGGAUUGGAUUAGGAUUUAGGAUUUGAUUAGGAUUUGGUUGGAAUUUAGAUUUGGGCUAAGAUUUGGGAUUUGGUUUAGGAUUUAGUUAGGAUUUAGAUUUACACUAGGAUUUAGAAUUUGGUUUAGGAUUUAGGAUUUAGAAUUUGCUUAAGGUUUAGGAUUUAGGAUUUGCUUAGGAUUUAGGAUUUGCUUAGGAUUUAGGAUUUAGAUUUGGACUAGGAUUUAGAAUUUGGUUUAGGAUUUAGGAUUUAGAACUUGCUCAAGGUUUAGGAUUUAGGAUUUGCUUAGGAUUUAGGAUUUAGAAUUUUUUUAGGAUUUAGGAUUAAGAAUUUACUUAAGAUUUAGAAUUUAAGAUUUGCUUAGGAUUUAGGAUUUGGUCUAAGAUUUAAUUAAAAUCCACUAGGAUUUCAACUAGGCUUAAAAUUUCAUUGAGAUUUAUUUAAGAUAUAUUUGUGAUUAUUCUAAUAUUUCUUUAGGAUUUCUUAAGGAUUAUUUUGAAAUUUAUUGUAGUUUUCUUUUGAAUUCCUUUAAGAUUUUUUAUUGUUUCUUUUUUAAUUUCUUUAAAAUUUCUUUUGAAUUUAAUUAAAAAUUACUUAAUAUUAUUAAGAUUUAAUUAGAAUUUAUUUAAUAUUCUAUUAGAAUUAGGAUUUUAUUAUUAUAAUUUCCAUUCUAUCUUUCAAAGUCAGAUAUUUGGUUCAUUCUCAAGUAAGACUUCACAUAAUAUGACAAUAGAUAUGAUAUGAAUAAAUGCACAUGGAAGCUAGUAAAGAAUCUUACAAAUGCAACAAAGAAGGUUGAAGUUUUUUAUUGAAAACAUCCAUCAAACCAAGAUGAAGAAUAACAAAUCUUUAAUAUAAAAGAAAUUAGAUCCAAGGAAGAUAGCAUUCUAUUUUUUACUCUUAUUUGGUACUUUUGUACAUUUAAAGAAAUAAAAAUUCAACAAUCAAUAGAUUCAACUAAAGAAUUCACUUGAUGAUUUAUCAAUGUUGUAUUAUAUAAAACCUUGCUUGAAAAUGCACCAAGUAGCUAGCUAUAGAAGAUAGAAGAAAAAUCGCAACAACAAGAUUUUAACUCUUAUAGAAUUCUAAAUAACUCUAAUUAAAACUUAAUAAUUUUAAUAAAAUUUUAAUCAAAUUCAAACAAACCUUAAAAAAAUACAAAAGAAGCAUGAAGAAAUCCUAAAGAAAUUCAAAUGAAUCAUUAGAAUAAAAUCUUAAACAUAUCUUAAAUAAAUUUCAACCAAAUCUUAAUUUAAUCCUAAUUAAAAUAUCAAUAGUCUUUAAUUAAAUUCUAAAUCAAAUCCUAAUUAAUCUUAUACAAUCUUAAAUUUUAAACAAAACCGAAAUCCUAACCAAUUUCUAAAUUCUAAACCAAAUCCUAAAUCUUAACCAAAUCCAAAUCAAUUUAACUUAAUCCUAAGGUAGUUUAGAACCUCAAUAUCUUUCAAUUAUACCAUUAAUCUUACUUAAGAUUUUACAUACUUCUUAAAAAUUAUGUUGGAAAUAAGCAUAAAAAAUUUGAAGAACAUCAAAUCUAUCAAUUAUAUGAUCAAUUCUAAAUUUUACUUGGAUAUUGGAUGGUCUCCUACUUCAAUUUAAAUGUUGAACUUCCAAUGCCAAUAUUUCUUCCUUGAAGCAUUGAAUUGCUUCGAAAAUCCACCUAAAUUGUUGAAAAUCAAGUCUAGUCUUUAUACAAAAAUAAUUCACUUCAAUCCAAUUGAAAAAUCUCUAAAGAUCUUAAAAAUACUCUCUGACUUUCAAACUCCAAUUUUUGAAACCUCAACCCUUAAAAAUCUUUACACAGUUUGAUCUAAUUAUUUGAUUGAUCCCAAAAUUUGUAUAAAUAUUUAAAAUUAGCACAACAACAUUCUACCCAAAAUUUAUACAUAUAAAUACCACAAAACUCAAGAAAUCUUCAAAUUUAUAAUCAUAGUUUUAUUUUUUAAAAUAUAAACCAAUUGAAAAUAUCACUAACUUUGAAAAUCUCCAAAAAAAUUAAAUAUUAAUUUGAUUGAUAUAUAAUGAAUGCCUAAAUAUCUCUUUGUAGGUCUAUUCUCAAAUUUUGCUCUCUAAUCUAUCAAAGAACUCUAGAAUCACCAUAAAUAUGUAGUUUUGUCUCUCGAGAUCUAAUUUCAACUGAAGUUGACAACUGAUUUUUUCUAGGUAUCAAUAUUUGAUAAUUUGACAUAAUUUUUACUUAAAACUAUUGAUAAUUCUCUUCUAAACAUGUUUAUAUCAAUUAUUUAUCUUAUUUAUUUUAAUUUAAGGUAUUUAUUCUCAUAUAAAGUAAAUAGAGGUACUUUCUUUAAAAGGCUACAUUAAGAUUAAACCUUUUAUUAUCUUUUUAUGAUUUAUCUUUAUUUUUCUAUUACAUCUUAUUACUAGGCUCUUCUAUAACAACAUCCAUAAUUUAAUUUUUCACCAUGUAGUUGUGUUACCAUACAAAACCAGAUGAAACAUUACAAUUGUCACAAUCUUCAAGAUAAUGUAAUGAAAAUGAAAAUCCUUAAAAAUAACAUGUCAUUCCUCAAACAGAUGAUGAGAUACAGCGUAUUUGGUAUUACAACCUUAGAAGAGACUUUCAAUGUUUGGUGAUUUUAUUAAAGGUUGGAACAAGUUCCGAGAGUGUUUUAAAUAUUUUAUUUAGAAGAAGUUACAAAAGCCUCAACAAUAAUUAAAUAAUAGAUUGAUCUUUCUACCUUGAUAUGAGAUAUUAUUGAUGGCUAAGAUGACCUAUCAACUAUAUUUCAAGAAAAUAAAGAUCAAAGUAUAGAACAAUUAUAAUUCGCCAUAUCUUGGAUUUCUUUAAUAUAUGAUAACCAUUCCUUGUUGAACUCAUCUUUAGAAAAAAUAAUAAUGUCACAAUCAUGCAUAUUUACUCUAAUAUUUUUUUAUAUGAUUAAAUAGAAGUAAAUAAAGUAGAUUUAUUUUAUGAUAUUUUCUCAAAAAAAAUUUUAGAAGCUUCAUAGAUGUUGUUUUUACUUUACAUGAAUUUGUAAUUGAUUAGUAGGUUAGAAACUUGGUCAAUAAACUAAUCACAUGUUGAUAGCUUAUAAAACAAGCUAACUAUGUGGUACACAUAUAAAAAACUUGUCUUGCAAGUUAAAAUAUGUGUCUUACAAAGUCAACAUGUUUUGGAGUGUUUAAAAGAAAUUGUCAUGUAAUUCCUAAUUAAGAGUAUAUAUGGAGGUAAGAGUGAAGCCUUUUUUACUCUUGUCAAUGCUUUUUUAGUCUUUAGUAUUUUUUCAAGACUUUCUACUCUUCUUGUCUUUGACAAUAGCCAUUUUAAUUUAAUACAAUAUCAUCUUUGAAUGAUUUUUUAGUUCUUUUGAGUGAUACAAGAAUAUAUCAAAGAUUUCUUCUUCAAGUUUUAUGUCCUUGAUAGAUAAAGUGUUCUUUAGAAAUGGUUAAUUGCUUCAAAAAAAUGCUAGAAAUUUGAAAUCAAGUUGUACAUAAGUUUUUGUAAAGAUAACACUAUAUUAUUAUAUGAAUUUAUUUUGUAUAUAUAGCUAUAUUAUAAAAUAAAAAUAAUAUAGUUCAUUACAAAACUAAAGUAUGAUAUUAUAUAUUAUAAAAUUUGACAUUUCUGCAUGACCAAUGUUUCUAUAUUGUAAAUGAAAUAGGUCAAUUUAACUAGAGAUAAUUGUCACGGACACAGAAUACAGACUUGAUAUCUAUCAAGAAGUUCAAGAAGAACUGGCAAGAACUAGAUUAAUCAGAUGAAUACAAGAACAACACCAGAAAGGUGAGCUAGAGCUCCAAGAGAUGUGUUGUCGAGACUGAAGAACUCUUCAGCCUCGAUCCUAAUAUAUACUCCUAUUUAAGAAGCUUCUCAAGCAACUUCUACCAACUACGAAGCUUCUAGAAGGUUCCAGAGACUUACUUCUAGAAGGUUCUAGAAACUUAUCUCUAGAAGGUUCUAAGGACUAUGUUCCUAACAUCUUCUACCAACUAAGAAGCUUCUAAAAGGUUCCAGCGACUUACUUCUAGAAGGUUCUAGAAGCUUGUCUCUAGAAGGUUCUAGAAACUUGUCUCUAGAAGGUUCUAAGGACUAUGUCCCUAACAUCAUCCCUUCUUUUAGCUUCGAGGUCUCUGAGAAGCAAUGUUGUUGUCAAUCAGUACCAACGCAAGAAAAUGAAGAUCUGUCGCAUAACAUUUGUUAUGAACUCCAACUGUUGUUCACGAGGUAAGUGGUUCACCGGCCCUUGAAGCCAACGGUAGUGGCCCACUUCUUCAACUUCUGACCAAGCAUGAACUUCCGUGUCUUCAUUGUGAAAUUGUCUUGCAAAUAUGCCUUCUGGUUGACCAUCACAAGCAGGCUCGGAUUCAAAUACAAUCACUAGUGAUCAGUUACUUGGUAUCCUCCAUCGUUGUCAUAGUGCAGGUGGUUCUUCAUCUCGGGAUCGCCUUCGUGAACUAGUUGGUUGAGAUAAUCUGACUGACAUAGUAUCUAUCUCUUGGCUAUCCAUAUCAGAAGACCAAACUAUGGCUACUGAAAAAAUUCUAUUUUAUCUUGGAGAAAAUAACUACAUCAACUACGAAUUUUGGUGGUGAUCUCUCCCUUUCUUAUAUUCUUGGAUAAGCAAGCUUCAGAAAGAAGCUAUUGUCGAACCGGCUUAGGUUUAUGAGGAUGUUGUUGAUGAAACUCCUAUACCUUUUGCGGCGCAUUGGUGAGAUUUUCAGCUGGCUCCCACGUUCGCUCAUUAAUGUCGUAGCCGCACCAAUGAACAAGAUCCUCCAACUUGCCCCACUUUCGCCGAGAAUCCAGCACCUUUUCAACCUCAUAUUCCUCAUGGUUCUCAAUCUCAAUACUAGGUGGCGGACAUUACACUCUUCCAGAAAAAGAUGACUCUCGAUAAGGCUCCAACAAAGAAACAUGAAAGACUGGAUGUACCUUCAUAGAAGCCGGUAAUUCCAGACGGUACGCCACUGGAUUGAUUUACUUUUGGAUGAUAAAUGGUCCCAAUCUUCGAUAGUCCAACUUAUCACAUGGUCGCUUGGUCUUGAUAUUCUGUCAAAGAAGCCAUGCUUUAUCUCCAAUUUUGAAAGUAGGUGCUUGAUUCCGAAAUCUAUCUGCAGACGCCUUGUAGGAUUCUUGAGCGGAUUGUAAUUGAAGCUUCAACGUAUUUUGAAGCUCUGAUAGUUGUUUCGCAAAUCCUUCAGCUGCUGGAUUGUUAUUUUUUGAUGGACUCAAUAAAUCAAGCUUUGGAUGAUAACUAUAGUUGAAAAAGAAUGGUGUGCAUUGAGUCGACGUAUGGAGGGAGUUGUUAUAUGGAAACUCGGCUAGCGGCAGAUAUGUGGUCCAAUCGUCUUGCUGAUAGUUGAUGCUACAUCGUAAGUAUUGUUGCAAGACUUGAUUCACCUGUUUCGUUUGACCGUCAGUUUGAGGAUGAAAAGCCGAAGAAAGCUUGAUAUCCACCUUCAGUAUCUCAAAGAGAGAUCUCCAAAACUUUGAUACGAACUGGGUUCCUCGAUCUGAUACGAUAUCAUCUGGUAGUCCAUGAUAUCGAUACACAUUAUCGAGAAAGAGCCUUGCUGUGACUUCACUAGACGAUGUCUUCUUGCAAGAGACAAAGUGUGCCAUUUUUGUAAGCCGAUCUACCACGACAAAGAUGCUGUUAAAUCAGUUCGAUGAUGGCAGGUCCGUGAUGAAGUCCAUGGAAAUUGAAGACCAUGGUCGACGUGGAAUUGGUAAUGGCUGUAAGAGUCCAUAAAGGCGAUGCCGAGGAUUCUUGGAUCUUGAACAGAUGUCGCAAGAGAGGACAAAAUCUUUCACAUCCUUCCACAUUUGGGGCCACCAAAAAUCUCGAGAAAUAAACUCCAAGGUCUUGUUGAAUCCAAAAUGUCCCGCAGAUGGAAAAUCGUGGCGAGAUUGAAGAACUCGGAGUCGUGCUGGUCCUUUUGGAAUAUACAACCGCUCUUCAAAGUAUAAAAGAUCUCCCUCCACCUUGAAUUUGUCGUCAUUGGCACACUGCUUGAUAUCAAUGGCUACUGAAUCUUCAAUGGUUACGGCACAUACCUGAUUCAGAAAGUCAGCAUCAAUUGGCAUAAUAGUAGCACAAAACUGAAAUUGCUCUGGCUUCAACAAUAUCGUACAUUGUUGAUCAAACGCUGCUUCUCCAACCUUUGGUACAAGAUACGAUCUCCUCGAUAAGGCAUCAGAUAGUUCUUGCUGCUUUUCAGGUCGAUAAAUGAUAAUAAAAUCGAACCUAGAUAGCAACAUACUCCAUCGAGCUUGACGUCGAUUUAGAACUCGAGCCGACAUGAAAUACUCCAAAUUCUUGUGAUCUGUGUAUACGGUCACUAGAUGUGCAGCUCCUUCAAGAAAGUGACGCCAUUCUUUAAAAGAAUCCACUAUAGCAAGAAGUUCCUUUUCGUGGAUCUCAUAAUUGAUUUCAGCAGCAGAGAACUUUCGAGAAUAGAAUGCAACUGGAUGGAGCUUCUUAUCUUCUCCCAUUUGUGAAAGUACAGCUCCCAAAGCAAAAUCCGAAGCAUUAGUUUCUAAAUAGAAGGCCUUUGUAAAGUUUGGAUGUAUCAAGAUUGGAGCUGUAGUAAAUGCAGUCUUCAGGUUUUGAAACGCCUUCUCUGCUAGAGGUCCCCAUUCCAGCUUAUCCUUGCAUAUCAAUCGAGUGAGAGGAGCAGUAACUUGAGAGUAAUUCUUGAUAAAGAUCCGAUAGAAGUUGGCAAAACCAAGAAAGCAUUGUACAUCUCUAACCGUCUUCGGAACCUCCCAGGACACGAUUGCUUCCACCUUCUUGGGGUCCAUCUUCAAGCCUUCCAUAGUCGCAACGAACCCUAGAAACUCCAUCUCUAUUUGGUGAAAUAAACACUUCUCCAACUUGGUAUAUAGUCCUCGCUCGCGUAGUUUCUCUAAUACCAAACGAACGUGUUUUUCAUGCACUUCCUCAUUUUUGGAGAAUAUCAAAAUAUCAUCCAAAUAGAUGACAACAAAAUCGCCAAGGUACUCUCGGAAAAUAUCAUUCAUCAUAUGUUGAAAGACCGCUGGAGUAUUGGUAAGACCAAAGGGCAUGACAUUAUAUUCAAAAUGGCCAUAUCUUUUACGGAACGCUGUCUUCCACUCAUUUCCUUCCUUGAUUUGUACGAGGUUGUAAGCUCCCCUUAGAUCAAUUUUUGUAAAGAUCCUUGCACAUCCAAGUUGUUCUAAAAGACCAGAAAUCAAGGGUAACGGAUAACGAUUCUUCUUUGUUACCUUGUUGAGGCCUCGAUAGUCCACGCACAUCCGCAACGAGCCAUCUUUCUUCUUCACAAAUAAGAUGGGUGCUGGAGCUGACGAUUUUGAAUGAUGGAUGAAGUUCUUGGCUAGAUUCUCGUCGAUGUACUUCCGCAAUUCCGCCAACUCUAUCUGCGAUAGAUUAUAGAUUGGGCCAAAAGGCGGUUGUACUCCUUCCUGUAUGUCUAUGGUGCAAUCAUAUGGUCUGUGUUCCGGUAGCAUGUCGACAUUUUUCUUUUGAAACACGUCUUUAAAAUCUUUAUGUUGCUCCGGUAUACUUGUUGCCGAGAUCUUCUCCCCGGUAGUUGGAGCCACAUAAAUGACAAACGGUGUGCCUCCCUUGGACAAUCUUAUAAAUGCUCUUGCUCCAAUAAAUAAGGAUUUCUCUAUUCAGGGUUUUCUUCUAGGCUUGCUCUUGGGUGGUUUUGUGGGAAAGGUCAUCUUCCGCAACUUCCAAUCUAUGGAUGGAUUAUGCUUUUCCAACCAAGAAAGACCAAAAAUAAUAGGAUUUGAUGGGGUUGUAAUAAUAUUGAAAAUAAUAUGACUACUAUGGUCCUUAAACGUCACUUCUAUAGGUUUUGAUUCAUAGGUGACACUACCAGACAAUAAAGGUCGUUCAUCUAUGACCUCAACGUGAACAGGUUUGGAUUUUUGUACUAAAGGGAUCUUAUGACGCUUUGCAAAUUCUUCGUCUAAAAAACAAGUAGAUGCUCAUGAAUCUAAUAAUGCUAAGGUUCUCAGUUUCUGAGGGCCAAUAAGCAAAGGGAUUGUAAAAUAAAGGGCAGGUUGAGCGGAAAGAAAGGAACCUGGUUGUUGUUGCGAUAUUUCACUGUCCAUUCGCACGGUUCCUAUUGUGGCUGGGCAUCCUCGUUUUCCUGAAUAAAUGCAUCCCUAGUCUUGAUAAUAUGUCGAUUCUGCUUCUUGGGGCAGUUUCUAACUUUGUGGCCUUCUUCACUGCAAUACAAGCAUAGACCUUCCUCCAUAUGCCGCUUUUUUUCGUCUAGAGUAAGAGAUUUGACACGUACUGCAUUAAUUUGCAUAUCUUCUAUCUCUGAAUGUAAAUUCACGCUACUUGCCGACAUAGUUGGGGUGUGGCGAAUCGUAUGUUGUCUUGAACGUUGGUCUUGGCGACGUUGGAAUAGGCGGUUAUUGCACUUCACAGCUUGGCUAAUAGCUUCGUUGAGCGUUUGCGGAUCAAGAAGAGUUAACAGCAAAUCCUUCACAUCGUCCUUUAAACCCCAAUAGAAUUGACUCAUCAACGCUUCUUCAUCCCAAUUGAUGUCGCAUGCUAAUUACCUGAAGUCCAAUGCAUAGACUAAUGUAGAACGCAUCCCUUGUCAUAGUGACCGGAUCUUUGUUGUAGCCCAUCGAACCUUGUCGUGUUCACCAAAUGCUUCCGUAAAUGCCUCCAAAAAGGUUUCAAAGUUGUUUAGUAUGGACGAUCAUUUCUCAAACAAAGGAGCAAACCAUGAUAGAGCUUGUUUUGUAAGUAAGGUUCCAACAAGCCCAACACGUGACUCCUCCGUUGGAUAGCGUUCGGGCUCUAAAACUGUUAUCAACCUGAUUUGGUUGACAAAUCUUCGAAACUUGGAACGUGUACCAUCGAUCUUGUUUGGAAGGUUAACUCGGCGUUCCUUAUGUUGUAGAACCAACGGUGCUUGUCGAACUUGAGGCAAAGUUGCUUCUCCAAGUGUAAAAGUUUGAGGCUGGUGCAACCUAGAUUGUGCCAUCCCAGAUGCUCCAUCAUUAUGAAGCCUUGCCACGACUCCUUCAAUCUCUGCAGUUCUUUGCGAUAACGUAGCGAGGGCAUUCAUGAUAGCAUCUAACUUGGACUCUGAACUUUCCGUCAUACUAAUGUCUUGGCCCCCGACCAUUCUAAGAGAAGGACAGAAAGGACUCUACAAGAAGACAAUAUUGGUUUAGAGGAGGGUACUCCGCAACCUCUAAAAUGCCUUAAGAGCUUCAAGAAAAGGAGUAAUCCACUCUCUCCAAGAAGAAUAAGACUCCAAUAUUGUAACAAAAGAAGUAUCAGUUUAGAGGAGGAUAAUCCGCAACCUCUAAAGUGCUAGUACACUUCCAAGCAGAGGGGUAAUCUACACUCUAACAAAGAAGAAACUAGCUCUGAUAUCUGAGGUGAGUGAAGUCUUGACAAACUGUCACGGACACAGAAUAUAGACUUGAUAUCUACCAAGAAGUUCAAGAAGAACUGGCAAGAACUAGAUUAAUCAGAUGAAUACAAGAACAACACCAGAGAGGUGAGCUAGAGCUCCAAGAGAUGUGUUGUCGAGACUGAAGAACUCUUCAGCCUCGAUUCCAAUAUAUACUCCUAUUUAAGAAGCUUCUCAAGCAACUUCUACCAACUAGAAAGCUUUUAGAAGGUUCUAGAGACUUGCUUCUAGAAGGUUCUAGAAACUUAUCUCUAGAAGGUUCUAGAGACUUGCUUCUAGAAGGUUCUAGAAACUUAUCUCUAGAAGGUUCUAAGGACUAUGUUCCUAACAUCUUCUACCAACUAAGAAGCUUCUAGAAGGUUCCAGAGACUUGUUUCUAGAAGGUUUUACAAGCUUCUCUCUAGAAGGUUCUAGAGACUUGUCUCUAGAAGGUUCUAAGGACUAUGUCCCUAACAAUAAUAUACAUAUUGUUGGACCAAAUGUAAAAUUAUCAAAUCUAUACAUAUUACUUGGAUUUAAAAAAAUAUUGUUGAUCUUCUAUUAUAGAAGGAUGUUGACUUUCAAUUUUGAAAGAAAUGAUGGAAAAAGACAAGACUUAAUAAAUACAAAGUAAAACUUAUUUCAAGUAGAAAAGCCUUCUUAUCUAUAUAUCAAAUGAUGGAUAAUCUGGUUAAGGCUACUUUUUAUUAUAUCAAAGACAAUGUCAUUAGUACUUGUGAAAAAGAAAAAACUUUAAGAUCAACAAUUUUUCAAUCUUACUUAGUAUUUCCUAAUGUUGGAAAAAUUAUAAGUGGUGAAAAAUUAAUCUACAUUAUUAUGUCUAAAUUGGAAAGUUAGCUAUUUUUUUUUGUAUAAGAUUGCAUUAUUUAUCUUCUUAUUGCAUCAAGAUUGUCAAGGAGCAUUACAAAAUUAUUGCCAUCAAAUUCUUCCAAUUAUUAAGUCUCUAAGCAUUAUGUAGUUGUUCUUGGGCUUCUUAAUGCUUUUUAUAUUGCUUGGCUGACUCUCUUAAUGUUUCUUGUGUCUAUUUACAUUCUUUUAUUUUUUAUAGUUGCAUUGUUAGCAUCACAAAUACUUGGAAUCUCCACCAAAGUUUUAGACAUGUGCUAAUCUUAUCUAAGCACAAUGAAAAUACUUAACAUAUUUUUUGCAUUAUCCUGCUUAGUAAUCAAGAACUUGAUAAAAGUAGAUAUGAGAUUUAAUCAAAAGUCAUUUGAUUAGAUUGUAGCAGACAUUCAUGAGACUACAAAGUCACUCAUACAACAUAUCUUAGCUUUUCAAAAGGUGCAAAUUGACCUCCCAAGUAUUCUUCCUUUAAGUUUUUGUUCAUUGAUUUAUAAUAAUGUAACAUAGCUGGUUUAGAUGCCUCAUUUGCUUAAAUAAAGGUGUAAGAAGAACUUAUUGGUGUCGACACAAUAAAAGCUGAGCCAAAUCUUAUCUCUACAAAUGUUAAUUAGAACCAAAUUUUUACUAAAUUUAUCCAUCCAUCAUAAAAAAACAUAUGACUUCUAAAUUCAUUUUUCUACUAUUGGAUCAAAAAUCAAUAGAAAUCAAUCACAUUUAUUAUGAUUACCAUAUUUGUCAUCAUAGAUAGGUUAAUUUAGUAAAAAUCUAGAUCUAUUUAAUAUUUCUUUAUAUAUAUAUAUAUAUAUAUAUAUAUAAUACUAAUUUUAUAAAUAAGUUUUUAUUUAUUUAUUUAUUUAUUUAAUUUCUUAAUUACUAAAUUUUAUCAUUUAAUAUAUUUCACAAGUCUUAGAUUAUAUUCAUUUUUUUUCAAAUUUUGCCAAAAUUAAUUAAUUAUAAUAAUAAUAGUAAUAAUAAUAAAAAUUAAAUAUAAAAUAUUUAUUAUAAUUUUAUUAAUUUAUUUCUAUUUUUGAUUUUAUAAAAUAUUAAUAAAACCAGGAAAUUUAAGUCAAUUCUUUAAAAUAAAAUCAAUUUAAAUCAAUAUCAAAAAUCCAAAUACUUUUAAUAUUUAUAAAAGAUUUGAUAAAUAAAAAAAUUAUUAAGACCUAUUUGACAAUUUAAAUUUUACAAUUAAUUAUUGUAGAAUUUUUGCACCAAACAUUGACUUUUGUGCAAAUUAGAAGUAAAACAAGUUAGAUGCUUUAAUCAUUUUGUAAUUGAUUCGAACCAGUAUCAUUAAAUAAUAUAAUAGAAUUAAAAUUUAGAAGCUAAAUAAUGAAGAUUUUAUUUUGCAGUUAAUUAAUAUACAAAGUAAAAAUCUAAAGUUAUGUAAUAUGGUUCUUCCGAAAGUAAUGAGGAAUAUAAAUGUCGUCUGCAUUGUUAAGGAAUGUUCAAAUAUAACCUUGCACUUACUUAAAAAUAAGCUACAAAGUGGUGCUAUAAACAAAUUUAAAGGUAGUAUUAAAUUAAAAAUAUCAACUAUAAAUUAUUGAUGCUAGAGAGCAUAUUAUAAAUAAAAAUAAGUUCAUCAAUCAUAUAUAUUAGACUUUAAAGAUAGUACUAAUAUUUAUUUAUAUUUUCUCAUAUAAAUAAUCUUUUAAUUGAAUUAAUGGUUCAAGUUAAAAUCUGCCAUGGAUUGCCCAAAGCCUCAUCUUCCAUUUACAUGGUUGUAACAAGUUGCAUAUUUGAUGACCAUUGGUUGAUGUGUCUUCAAUAACUAAAGAAAAGAAAAUAAAACAAAACUAAUUUUUGAUAUAAAAUACUAAAUUAUAUAUAUUAUGUCAUCCAAAAGUUUAGUACUAUAUUUUUAUUGUCAUUAGAUUUAAUAUUUUUUUAGGAGAAUAUUAAAUAAAUCUAGAUUUUUACUAAAUUAACCUAUCCAUGAUGAAAAAUAUGAUUAUCAUGAUGAAUGUAGUGGAAUUUUAUUGGUUUCAAAUCUAGAGAAAUGAAUUUAGAAGUUUUUUUUUUUUUUUUUUUUUUUUUUUUUUCUUCUUCUUCUUCUUCGUCCAUGAUGUUCAAGGAUAAAUUGGUCAAUUUAGUAAAAGUUUAGAUCUAUUUAAAAUUACCCUUUAUUAAAUGAAAGACUGUAAAAUAACCAAAUUAUUUAAAAGUUACAAAUUAUACAUAAACCUAAAUCAAACAAGAAAACAGACUUGAGACCAAUCCAAGAAGUAAUAUCUCACAAGAAUCAACUACUUACACUUAUAAAGAUGAAUAAAUGGGAUGCUACUUGAGCAAAAACAAUAGUAAUCCUAAUAUCCAUCAAAUUAAUUAUAUUGAAUUCAUACAAUGUUUUUAGGUGACAACAUGUGUUUUAAGUAAUAAAAGAAUAUUCAACUUUGAAUUAAAAAGCCAAAGUGAAGUUUGUUGAUGCUAUCAAUUUAUAUAUUUAAAUAGAAUUUAUAGAAUUUUUUUACUUUGAAAAAAAGUAUUUUGCAAUAUAUUUCCAAUUCUAUCUAAUUGGUGUAAUUGACCAAUAUUAAUGAUGCACAUGAAUGUUUCAAAUCAUUAAUAAAAGAUAAUUGAUGCUUUUGAGGAAUUGAAUCAAAACCACUAAAACUCCGAGAAAAACUUAGUUAUUAAAUAUUAAAGAUACAAGAAUUUUUUUUGUAAAAUGUGAAGAUAAUUUUUAAGUUACACACGAAUUUCAAAAGAUACCACCACACAGUAUGAAGAAUGCUAUUUAAUCAUUUACCAAAAUUAAACUAGGUAUAGAACGGCAAUAAUGCAUGAGCCUUUCACUACAAUUACUCAUGAAUUGUGGUGCGUGAAAGUAUUAAGAAAAACAAAAACUGGAUAUUCAAGUUAAAGCGCAUAUUUUAGUGCAGUGGAAUUUGGUGGUAAAUUCAUCUGUUUUUUUGCUGGUUUUGAAUAAUUUAUAAGAUAAUAAUAAUCAUAAAAAUUUGAUAGAUAUAAAAUUUAUGUAUGCACGAAUGGCACACAUUAUGAAUAGUAGAAAAUAUAAUCUCAAAUAAAUUAUUGUCACAUUUGUUUUCUUCAUUGAUCUUGUAGUAAUAUUAAUGUCUUGAUAGAUUUAGUCAUGACCGUCAUGAGACAUGAUGAGUUUCAUUGAAUAUUUCAAAAAAGAUAACAUAGAAUAUCUUCAUUCUUAGUAUACAAUUUAUUUUAUUUUACUUUACUCUUAUUUGAACUAUAUCAUUAUGUGCAUUUUUAUUGUUGUUUACUAACAUGUUCUAAGAUGGUAAAAAAAUAUUAAUUGGUAUUCCAAGUAACUAUAAGUUGUAAUGCCAAAAAAACAAACAUUAUUGAUGUAUUUUAAUAAUCAAUGUCAAUAGAGCGAAAUUAAAUGUAGAUAUGCAUGGUUCAAUAAUUGUAGGUAAUUACGUAGAGUAUUGUAUGUUAGAAUGUAAGUUGGUCAAACAGAAGCCACGAUCAAAUCUACUGCAAGGUUUGUAAAAGACGAUCAAAACUUUAAUGCAUGUAUGAGUCUUUAUUCAUUAUAUCUCAGUGAGAUCUUUUCUACCAGAAUUUAAAAAAUUAUUUUUAUCAUUUACCUUGUUAUGAACAAUGUUAAAUUUUUAUUUAUGUAUGUAUGUAUGAUUUUUAACUUAUGAAUUUAUAACAAUGUUUAAAAAACAGAUGAUAUGAAAAUGAAAGAGGUUUUUAGUAUUUUAGAAAAAUAUCAAUGGUUUGACCAUGAGUAAUAUCUAGUUUUAUGAAAACACACUGUUAUCUCAAAAUUAUAAUAUAUAUAAAUAUAUAAUUAUGUACACUCUUAGAGAAUAAAAUUGUAAGUCUAAUUUUAUAAAAUUCUAUUUACACUUUUUGAAAUAAAAAAUACUUAUCUUAAAGUUAAGGCCUUUAAUGUAAGUGUAGAUCUGGUUCUAUAUUUUUUCUUUUCAUUUUUUGACUUUUUUACACAAUUUCAUUUAAGAAAAAGGUAUAAUCAUCAAAAACUAAAAAAUUGAUUUUCAUUGGACCUCUUCAUAAUUACAACUCUCCUAAUGAUCAAUGUGGUUGCAAUAUUGUGAUUGCUACUAAACAAAACAGGAAAAGUUAACUUUUGGCAAAGUUAUGUAGUUCAAAUCCCACGAAAAAAAUUAGAGAAUAAUCAUCCUAUUGUUCAAAAACCCACAAACGCCACAAUUAAAAAACAGUACAAAAAAAGUAAAAAUGUCAGAUCUCUGUUCCAAAAUGGUCGUACAUAACCAGAGAGUAACUAGUUACACCACACUGGGGGCAUCAUCCGGUAUCAGGAAGACUGUAGUUCGAUUCCCGACCAGUACACACUAGUUGGAGAAGGAAUACGAGCUCACACCUACUCAGAAGAACUUGUUGCGGAGAUGGCGAACUAACUUGAUUUCACUUAGAAGGGGACGGAGACGACGGGGACUGAGGAGGAGGGAAAAGAAUCUAUCGGCUAUGUUAUUUUCCAAUUUCGAAUGGCGCAGGAGGAAUUCCCCAGUUUUGAACCCUUUAGGAUUUCGAUUCCCAUAGAAAGCAGCGGUUAGUUGGAUCGCCACGAAUAGACAGACCCUGCCUGGGUCGGAGCUGGUGCAGCUGGGUCCAAUCUCGUGACGUGCUGGGACUCUGCUUAUUCCUGAAGCCCGGCCUCUCCACGGGGCAACCACCCCUCGCUCGCCCCGCUGAGAAGAGAGUGGGUAGAUGAUGUCAUCCGUGAGUGCAAUCAACAAUCGGGAGUUCUAGACACGACAAGAAGAGCAUGGGACUAGCUCGGCCAAAUUCUCAGGGGGGUUACCUGAUUUCGCAGGCAGAAACGGAGGCUUGCUGUUUCUGUCCGACUCCGAGCUCAUUUGGGAUGCUCUUUCUUGCUCUCCCCGGCACGGCGUCCGCUAUUGGACCCCGCAUUUCGGGGUAGUUGGCUAUUUUAAGAGGCUGGUGAGAGGGCGCCACCGAGUGCAGUCUCUGUCUAUACAAGGUAAACUUGGAGAGGUGUCAGGGAUGCUGAAUCCCAGCUCUUCAUGACUCUCCCGAGACUUGAGUUGCAGGGUACGUAGUGCGCAGCUGAUUUUCACCAACCGCUGGCGUCGGCACCAGGAGUGAGCUCGUAAGUGGUAUCUAACUGUUUAAUGUAUCUACCCAGCGCCGGGAGAAGUUAUAGCCUGAUUCACAGCCUGAAAUUGGUCAACGUCGUCCUCGUCCAGAGGUUCAUGCAUGUAACUCCUUUCAGCAAAACCCCUUGCGUUCGAGAAUGGUCCUACGAAUUGGGUGCAAACUUGAUGUCCGAGCGUCUGUAUCUGCGCAUCAUGCGAUGAUUGCCAGGCGGGAGUUGCCAGGAGCACCUUCAAUGGUCGGACAAGUGGAAUAACCAGUUCUAUUUCGCAUGGCAUGGAGGACGCGCUGUCUUAAGUGUCGCAAAAAGCUUUCUACGUCGAUAUAAGCAAACUCAACACGCUUCCGAUGCACAGACCGUUGUGUGCAGAUGACGAGACGCUCCGAAAAAGAAAUUCUUCGUAUGAAUGAAAAUAAACUGGCGCAAAAGCUGUGUCUAAUGGAUCAAUAAACUCGAUACAAGCAGGGGCUCCUACACAUUGAUUCCUCAACGGUUGUCUAUGUGCCAGGAAUGUGCAACUCUUCAUGAUAAGAGCUCCUACUCUACCACCUCGUGCCCAUAAAUCAGUUGAACUGGCGGCACGGGAAAGCGCUGAGCGCAAGGAAUCUGGACUCACAUUCACGUUCACUGGAGCUCGUCACUGCCGGCCUGGAAAAUAACAAAAACACUGGAUGAAUUGAUUUAUCUAGUUUCAGUGUUUGGUGUCGAUCGUUGAAUUUCGAACAAAAGUGAGUCUGCGACCUUCUAACCCACACUUGUGUGUCUCGCAUCACCAUCAGCGCACGAUUCAAACAUGACGAAGUAACCAGCACUUCAAAGAUGUGCAAAAUAAUUCACAACAUUUAAACCAUAUAACUAUUAUUUGAAUAAAUUUAUUAUUUAUUCAAGUAAUAGGACGCUGCAUUUAAUUAUUUAUUCAAAUAAAAGGACGCUGCAUUUAAUUAUUUUUUAAGAAUCAAUGUUUUCAAUAUGAAAACAUGACAUCCAAGCAAAUUCUACCAAUUCCAUUCAUUUUAAUCAAAGCAAUAAGAAUAAUCAAAAACUUAGCCUUAAUACUAGAUGAUGUGGCAAUUGAGUCCUAAAAGUUCUUAAAAAAACUACACACAUAAGCAGAAACAAGGAGUCACUAAUAUCCCCGUAUAAUCUCAAAGCACAGAAUAUCUAAACCUGUAAUUUUUUUUAAUUCAAAUACGAUAAAGAAAAAAGGGGGAAAAAUAAUGAAGAAAAGAAUCGAAUGGGCAGAAACUUUCUUACACUGCCAUUCAGACCCUUUGUGAUAAGAGCCCGAGGUUGUGCAGUGGAGAGAAACCUUUUUGUUACCGAGAUAGAGAUGCACGUGAUCAGCAUCGGCGUGAAGCGAAGUGCACAUCCCUUCGCAAUAUACUCUCUCUCGCACAUUCAGCUUCGGCAUCCACGGAAUUAGGAGCUUGGGGACGGUCAUAGGGGUGGAAACGCCGCAGCGGUAGUGUUAUUCAACGGGGGGUGAGUUCCCGCCUAAUGAAAGAGCGGGGGGCAGGGCUACAGACUCCUACUGCUCCUGCUUCUGUUGCUGCUUCUGCUGCUGCUGUUGCUGCUAAUUACUACUCGUCGUCGUCGUUGUCGUCGUCGUCUCCUUCGGCAUGCGUCAAGGCUAAUGUUCCGCCCCCGAGCAUCCCAGCCCACGCAGCUCUCCUCCUUGUCAGGACACCACCAAAUCCGCCUGUCACUCCCCCCCCCCAACCCCACCCACCUCUCCCUUACUACCGUUCCUAACGUACAGCCCGCCGCAGCCUCUUUCUUUGGGAGCCUUCUCUCGUAAAUCUUGGGGGGGGGAGAUCGGGGGGUGAGUGUCAGGCAAUCACCAGAGUCGUUACAUUACUCUACCACUCUCCUGCUAAGCCUACUACAGACUCGUUCUUCGCUUCUGCCCCACCGUGCUUACUAACAUCGUCUCCACUGCACUCCUUUUACACUUACACACACACGGCGAGUAUCUUUUUUGUUAUUUGUUCCCCUCCUCGAUCAAAUUGUUGCCAGUGUUCCUGGCACAUGGUAGGGUGCUGCUGAUGGUCAUUGCAACUGGACCACUUAGACGGGACAAAGUUGUAAAGAGGAAAGUUGUGCUGUGUUGUGUUCCGCACCUGUUGAUGGUGUUUGAGAAUCUUUUUGAAGCAGAAUAUUUGUUUUUUUGUAUUGAAUUCUCUGUGUGAGCCAUAUUCGGUGGUGCAUUGGAGGUGGAGUCAUCGAGGCGUAACCAUGCAUAGUGAGCUGGUGGUCACAGUUGCUGUGUGUAAGCCAAUAUCACCUGUGUGCGAUCGGUGGCGGUCCGACUAAUUCCAUCGGAAUUUUGUCUGUUUCGAAACAUCUACUUUGAUGGUAGGCUACAUGGAAGGUAGAAUCAGGGAGAACAGCGUAAUCCAAGGAGUUAUGGAUGAUGACAGCCUCUGGACAGUACAGAAGUUUGCAGCGAUUUUGUUCGCAGCGCAAUUCUGAUUCCUGGAGAACGACUCACGGAGGUGCCGGUCGUGUAGUGCUGGAUAGCUCAUCUUUUGUGGGAAAGGUGGAUCCACCUAAAGAACGUGAGGUUAUGGGUCGCGGUAAAAUUGAAAUCAAGAAGAUAGAAAAUCCUACUAGUAGGCAGGUAACCUUUUCUAAGAGGCGAGGAGGCCUUUUGAAGAAAGCACACGAGCUUGCAGUGCUAUGCGAUGCAGAGGUGGCACUCAUCAUCUUUUCCAGCACAGGAAAGCUAUUUGAAUUCGCCAGCUCAGGCAGGUACGACGCCGUCAACCUAGUCAUUAUGCUCACAUCUUGCGAGUGGAGGAACUUUUUAUGCGCACUAAAUUGCAGUCCAAAUUCCCCUAGUGGUAGUAGUCGUUUACACUUUUUUCGUCUUACUCUAGUGAUAUGACUACGUCAAGUACCUGUAUAAUCUAAGCCAUAUGCCUUCAAUUGUGCACCUUUUCCUUCAAGGUCACAGAUAAGUUCUUAAAUAAAAAAUAUGGAGCUCCGCAAGUUCAUCAAGUAGCUGCCUUAAAUAGUGAGUGAUGGAAAAUAUUCACCUAUCCGUUUCAAUUUUUCUAGAUGCUCUCGGCAAACCUUGAAUGCAUGUGCACUUACUGAUUCGUUGGCAUCAUGUUCCAACGCUCACUGUAUUCUAGGCCCUACAGCCUCCCUGCAGUCUGAUCAAUCAGUUGGGAUUCUUGUCGAUUUCCUUCCACACGCGUUGUAUUGUUUUUAGUCUAGAUUGUCUGCACGCAUAGAAUUCACAAUCACUCCUGCGUUUCUGGAAUCCCAUUCUAUACGUAUUCUCCAUUGUUGAGCGCUUGUGAUACAGCAAUCAUUCUAGUUUGAUCCUUUGGCACUGGGUGUCUAAUCUCACUCUAUCAUAAUUUUCGUCUCUGCGUGCUAAGUACCGGUACGAAUUCCGAAGGCAAUGGUGAUCAUUGGCUACUCACUAUAACAUAAUGUUUCUCGGAGCGUUGUAUGGUUUAGUCGGCACUUCUAGGGACAAGCACACGUUUCAAAGUAGAUCUUCCUGUCUUCAGGGAUUUUGUUGAUCCUAUUAGAGGAUAUGAAGAGUGCAAUACCAAUAAGUGAAGCGAUAAAUUUCUGCAGUUUGUACGUCGCAGCGACUUUUUGCCUAGGUUGCUGAAAAAUAAUCUGGUAAGAAACUAAAAAAUAUAACUUUACGAUAGGGUCUGGAUUCUAGUAACUGCCCCUGGCACACAGCACAAUUGUACCACUUUUGCGGACAGUGUGUCACUCCUGGAUGAGACAGGUGCCUUUUGUCCUCCAGAGACCUUAAAUCUGGGCCUUGGAUGAACUUUUGCCGCAUAUCGAAAGAAAGGUUUUGAUCCCUGCUUUAUGUUGAUUUUUUGUGCUGUGAAGCAUGCGCGAUAUUCUGGAGCGAUACAGCAAGUGUCCAGACGGAGUGCAGACUACCGGGAACGUCGACGUAAGUCGUAUUGAUCCUGUACUCCCCAACUAUGUAUUCAGCAUUCAGAAAUGGCGUGCUUCGGUUUUCAUCUUCUACACACUUCCAAAAUGUGAUAUAGUUGAGAUUCAAGUUUGAGUUGGUUUACACUUUGUAUGCACAUUGAUCGCAGUUCAUGGGUCGUGAAGUCGUGAAGCUACGACAGCAGUUGGAGCGGAUGCAGCAUUCGCAAAGGUAUUGUGUUUAAGUUAAACAAGGAAAUAAAGAGGAGAAGGCCUGAACAUUCUUAAGCUGUAAAGAGAAAAUCAACGAGGUUUCAUAUUAUGUCAAUUUUCCUGAGUGCAUGCUUAUUAGUUUAUGGUCUCACCAAUUUAAGUGCUGCUUCUGUCCAUGGUUUGGACGACGUGGUCCUGGUAUGCAGGCAAAUGCUUGGUGAGGAUCUCCAGGUUUUAACAGUAUCCGACUUGCUGCAAUUGGAGCAGCAACUGGAUGUCGGUGCCUCUAGAGUACGAGCAAGGAAGGCAAGUAUCAUGUUUGGGAAGUAUCACAUUCAAUAGUAUCACUGAAUUUACAGAAAAGACUUGUUUUUUAAUCCCCUCUACCAGUAAUCCUAUAUAUGCGUAAUUAGCUGAGAUUUAAAAUUACAUUGUUCGCAGUUCUUAGUGCUCACGGCUUAUUAGAUCACUGAGGUGCAGGCUAUGGCUGAGAUUUUUUUUUUUUUUUUUUUUUUUUUUUUUUUUCUCCAGACUGAAAUAUUGAUUCUUCUCAGGGUUCUACUGUUGCAGAACCAGCUUUUAUUGGAAGAAAUUGAACAAUUAAGACAAAAGGUGCGUAUCUGUCUUUUUCGAGGUGAACAGCGCUUCGGAGUUCUUUGUCAUGCGAUUGUGUAGAGACUUCAAUAUUCUAAAUAAUUAAUUUACUGAAGUGGAGCUGUGAGACACUUUGUUGUACAGGAGCUUGAUUUACAGGCCGAAAAUGAAGAUUUGCGUAAAAAGGUGAGAAUCAUCUCUUCAUUCAUCAUGAGCCGAUUGUUUAUAUCAUUUUAUCUUACGGCGAAUUUGGCUAUAUCUCUCCACCAAAAUAACAUGUCAAAACUAACCGAAUCCGUUGUGGCAAGUGUUUGUUUGUAAUUACCUGUUUUAUUCGGAAAAGCUUUGUUUGAUUUCCCAGGUUGAAUGCUGAAACAAAGGGUGAACUUAGCAGGUGCAUAACUGGUUAAGCGUCUCAAGCAGCAGGGUCACCUCCCAAAAUACCUCCGUUUGUUUCAGCAUUCACCGUGAACUAAUGCGCAAAGGUCCCAAUUGCCUGUAUUAAACAUGAAAAUUAGCAUUUUUCCUGCACCUUUUCUAGCAUGAGCAGUGCAUUACCCUGCCCAAUGUAGUGAAUGGUCGGAGAGUUUACUAUGAGUUUUCUCUUCAUCCAGCUUGCGCAUGUCAAGGAAACGGCCGAAGUUUCUGGCCAUACUGGUACGUCGGAGAGUCCGAGUCAAGUUGCCAGUGCCUCUGCGUAUGAGACUGGUGGGAUUUCCGCGCAGGUGACCAUGGUGUACCCCACACAUCCGAACCUCCGUGACCCGCAGACAUCACAAACUUCGCUGCAUCUUGGGUGAGCUUCUGGGUCAAAUCUGUAACUAUUUCUUCAAGGUCUUACAGUUUCAGGCUUAUGACUAGUCCGCUUAUGGCUUAGUGCAUUGAUUCCUGGAAUUGAUUAUCUUCCGUCUUUUGUCAAUUUGAAUUUCACUGUUAAAGAAUUCGUCACUGAACACAUACAGUGGUGGAACUUUUUAGGUUAUUUCCUGAGUCAUUUGUGCCAAACACUAGCAGAAGGCCAUCCCAGCGAAGUCCGACUGAUCCCGAAGGUAAAAAACCAGUUUCGCAAUCUGUGUGCUUGGUAUCCUAUCUCUACCGCACUGGCUUUGGUCCUCAGUAGGUGACCAGAUAGUGGAAUUUCUUAGUUUAAAGUAAUCCUAUCUGCUACUGGAUUGGAAACAUCACUUUUAUUGUCCUUGCUAUAAUUAACGGUAGCGCAUUUUUCUAGCAAUGUGAAUUUGUGGCGCCUCUAGUAAUUGAUUGUGUCGUUUUUAUGUGUCCUCACAAAUACUACCUCAGUGGGUGCUCAAAGCUCCUGUUUCUGUUGUUUUUUUUAGUUUCGUGGUUGGAUUCUUUAAGCAUAUUCAAUCUUUAUCGUCCAUGUGAUCUUGAACUUCGGGUAUCGACAAUUUGUCAUACUUUCUGUUUUGCAGGUGAAUCCUCUAUAAGAUGGGAACGGUAUAGGGGUCAGGAAUAGAGUUCAUGCAAACUUUCCAUGAGCGGGAUGAUGUUACAUUCCAGGGUCUCCCUUUCCAGACGGUUGUACCGUUACCACUACCUAGUGAUCGCAAAUUCCCUCUACAUGGUCCCGUCAAAAUUUCCAUCCAUGUGUCGCUUAUUAAUUGGGUGAAGAAGUCAAGUAGUAAUGCAACAUCUGUAGCAAAACUACUAAUGUGGUUACUGUUCAAUUCAUUCGCCUGUUUCUUCCAAUCCUAGAGUGGAGGUCAAAAGCAGGUUGCAUCUUCUUCGUUAGAUCGGUUUCAUCUCCGAGAAGGCAAGAUUGUGGAUCAGGAACUUGCCUCAGUUGAGAUGCGGCGCGAUGUAUGUAGUGACAAGCAGAACUCGGGUCUUUUAUAGAACAGUCGGCAUAGGCCGGAAGUUACAAGAUCUGAAUCGGUUAAUAUACUCCCUCGGAUAAAAGCAUUUUUAGGCACAUGAUAGAAUUUACGUUCAUGUCCAAAUCGCGAAGUGAAGCAUGCGUACUGGUAUGAUGAGCUUAGAGUUGGACGAAUCCAUAUAUUUCUAUAUUAUUGUAGAAAAUCCUUAAAUAGCAACGAGAAAUAAAUAGAUCUGCAAUCCUACUAGGGAUGUAA